CCGUGCUCAUGGGUCCCAUCUUUGCCAGCCUCUCCUUGGCCAAGCGCGGUGCGUCAGGGCUGGUCUUCACCUCCGGUGGGUAGAUGAGAUACAGGACCAGCGGCACAAUCAGCAGCGACAGAAGCCCUGGCACAAUGGCCGCCUUUGCCCACAGCGUCCACCCGAUCCCCUGCCCGAUGGUGCUGAGCGUGAGGUUGGCAGCAAGCGGGUUGGCCGCCAUCGCCGUGAGGAACAUCGCUGACGAAAUGACGGACGUCUGGAAGCAUGUGAGCAUGAGCCAGGCGCCGAGCUUUCGCUCUGUGCCGUCGUCAGUGCGCGAUCCACACGCCUCGCAGAGGGAUUUCACGAGCGGGAGGAAGAUGCCACCAGCCCGCGCGGAGACCGAGGGGAUUGCCGGCGCGAGGAACGCCUCGGCAAAGACGAGCGAGUAACCGAGGCCGAGCGUGGAGCCCCCGAAGGCCGAAACGAAUUGGUAGGCGACGCGGUUCCCGAGCCCCGUCUUGAUGAACCCCCGAGCGAAGAAGAAGGCGAGCGCGAUGAGCCAGGGGAUGGGAUCCCCGAAGGCGGAGAAGGCGGCGGCGAAGGUGAGGGUGCGGGUGAGCACGGCGGCGCCCAAGCCAAGCAGCGCGACGGCGCCCAGCGGCAGCGGCUGCGUGAUGAUCCCGACGAUGGUGGCGAGAAACACGGCGAGCAGCUGCCACGCGUUGCGGGCCACGCCGGCGGGGGCGGGGAUGAACCAGAUGAUGACCCCCGUGGCAAUGGAAGCCAGCAGCGGCUUGAGGGCCGCGCCCCUCAGGGCNNNNNNNNNNNNNNNNNNNNNNNNNNNNNNNNNNNNNNNNNNNNNNNNNNNNNNNNNNNNNNNNNNNNNNNNNNNNNNNNNNNNNNNNNNNNNNNNNNNNUCUCUCNUUGUAAUGAAUUGAGUUUCCCCUUUGGAGUUAUCUUAUCGGAUUGAGUGUUUGAGAACACUUGAUGUAUGUCUUGCACGUGUCUAUCUGCUGUGAUCAACUUGCGGGUUUGUGACAAUUGGGAACCUAUGCAUAUGGGUUGGCACACGUGGAUUCAUGUGAGUACUCGAUGUAUGUUUUGGUGAUCAACUUGCGGGUUCGUGACAUUAGGAACCUAUGCAUAGGGGUUGGCAUAGGUUUUGACUCUCCGGUAGAAACUUUGGUGCACUCUUUGAAGUUUUAUGUGUUGGUUGAAUAGAUGAGUCUGAGAUUGUGUGAUGCAUAUCGUAUAAUCAUGCCCACGGAUACUUGAGGUGACAAUGGAGUAUCUAGGUGACAUUAGGGUCUUGGUAGAUAUGUAUCUUAAGGUGUUAUUCUAGUACGAACUCUUGAAUAGAUCGAUCAGAAAGAAUAACUUUGUGGUGGUUUCGUACCCGACAAUAAUCUCUUCGUUUGUUCCCCGCUAUUAGUGACUUUGGAUUGACUCUUUGUUGCAUGUUGAGGGCUAGUUAUAUGACCUAAUUAUGUUAUCAUUGUUGAGAGAACUUCACUAGUGAAAGUAUGAACCCUAGGCCUUGUUUCCACGCAUUGCAAUACCGUUCGUGCUCACUUUUACCAUUUGUUAUCUUGCUGUUUUUGUAAUUUCAGAUUACAAAAACCUAUAUCUACCAUCCAUAUUGCACUUGUUUCACCAUCUCUUCGCCGAACUAGUGCACCUAUACAAUUUACCAUUGUAUUGGGUGUGUUGGGGACACAAGAGACUCUUUGUUAUUUGGUUGCAGGGUUGCUUGAGAGAGACCAUCUUCAUCCUACGCCUCCCACGGAUUGAUAAACCUUAGGUCACCCACUUGAGGGAAAAUUGCUACUGUCCUACAAACCUUUGCACUUGGAGGCCGAACAACGUCUACAAGAAGAAGGUUGCAUAGUAGACAUCAAGCUCUUUUCUGGCGCCGUUGCCGGGAAGGUUAGCGCUUGAAGGUAUAUCUUUAGAUCUUGCAAUCGAAUCUUUUUGUUUCUUGUUAUUUCGCUAGAAAACUACAACAAAAAUGGAAUUGAGGAUGCCUCAUAUGCUCCAUCUUUUCAAUGUCUUUCGUGAGCAUCAUGGGAAGGAAAAUUGUGCUCAAGUGCUGAAAGAAGAAUUACAUAGAAUGCUUGGCAUAGAAUACAUGAAUGAUGAGCAUGAUUGCAAUGUUCUUAGCAUGAAUUCUUUGAAUACCCAUGAUGCUAAUGAUAUGCAAAGCCACAAGCUUGGGGAUGCUAUAUUUGAUGAAGAUGAUCUUUUUAGUUCUUCCACUUUGAAUGAUCAAAAUUAUUUUGAUGAAAGCAUGCCCCCUAUCUAUGAUGAUUAUUGUGAGGAUACUUAUGCUUUGAAGAAGAAGGAUGAUAAAACUUGUCAUACUUUCGAAAACCCCUUUGCUAAACCUUGCUUUUUCAUUGUGGACACAAUUUGUAGUGCUCAACUCUUUUAUGAUGCUCUCACUACUACUCUUGAGAAUAGAUUUCCUUAUGUGGAGAGUAGUAAAAUUUCUAUGCUUGUAGAUCAUGAAAAGAAUGUUUUAUGUGCUGGUUAUAUUGUUGAAUUCAUUCAUGAUGUUACUAAAAAUUACUAUGAGAGAGGAUCAUAUGCUUCUACUUAUUGCAAUAGUAUCAAGCUUCCUCUCCAUAUGUUGAAAUUUUUGAAGCUAUGCUUGUUUUGCCUUCCUAUGCUAGUUGAUUCAUGCUCCAAUAAAUUGUUUGAUCACAAAAUCCCUAUGCAUAGGAAGUGGGUUAGACUUAAAUGUGCUAGCCAUUUGCUCCAUGAUGCUCUCGUUGUGUUUCAAUCCUUAGCUUUUAUGUGAGCAUCAUUGAAAGCAAUGCCUAGCUAAGGGCGUUAAACAAAAGCGCUUGUUGGGAGGCAACCCAACGAAUCUAUCCUUUUUCUUUCUGUUUUGUGUUUUCCACACUUUCAUAAUUCUGUUAUGAUUGUGUUUUUUGUGUUUAUUUUUGCGUUUGUGCCAAGCAAAACCGUUAUGAUUAGUCUUGGGGAUGAUCGUUUGGUCAUGCUAGAAAAGACAGAAACUUUCUGCUCACGAAAAGAAUUUUCAUUUUUUUUUCUGUAAGAGCUUUUGAGUUGAUUAUUUUUGCUGCUGAUUGAUACGCAAAUUCUUCCGUCUGUCGUAAUUUGUCAGAAGUUUUGAAGUAUCAUAAGUAUACGAAAUAUACAGAUUGCUACAGACUGGUCUGCUGUUAACAGAUUUUGUUUUUGUUGUGUUGGUUGCUUAUUUUGAUGAAACUAUGGAUAGUAUCGGGGGUAUUAGCCAUGGAAGAUUGAAAAUACAGUAACCCAACAUGAGCAUAAGUAGAAUUUAAGUUUGCUACAGUACUUAAGGAAGUGGUGGUUUGCUUUCUCAUACUAAUGUUAUCACGAGUUUCUGUUUAAGUUUCGUGUUGUGAAGUUUUCAAGUUUUGGGUGAAGUUCUUAUGGACAAAGAGAUAAAGAGUGGCAAGAGCUCAAGCUUGGGGAUGCCCAAGUCACACCAAGAGAUUCAAGGAUGCCGUAAAAGCCUAAGCUUGGGGAUGCCCCAGGAAGGCAUCCCCGCUUUCGUCUUCAAUCCAUCGGUAACGUUACUUGGGGCUAUAUUUUUAUUCACCACAUGUUUGUGUUUUUGCUUGGAGCGUCUUGUAUCGUAUGAGUCUUUAUUUUUGUUGUGCCAAAAUCUUACUUGCUGCACACCUAGAGAGAGAGACAUGCACUCACCGUGAUUUUGUCGAGCUUCACUUAUAUCCUUUGGUAGACAAUUCAGGUCACAUGUGCUUCACUUAUAUCUUUUAGAGCACAGCGGUGCAUGACUUGGUAGUUGAUCUAUGCUUUGAAAGUAGUCUCAAAAGGGGUAAUUAUCCAAAGGGAUACAAAAACUUCCACCUUCAUGUGCAUUGAAUAGUUAGAGAAGUUUGAUUCCUCUCAAUUAGUUUUGAGAUAUGGUUGUGGUAAUAUUGAAGUUAUGCUAGUAAGGUGUUGUGGAUCUAGAAAUACUUGUGUUGAAGUUAGUAAUUCCCGUAGCAUGCACGUAUGGUGAACCGCUAUGUGAUGAAGUCUGAGCAUGAUUAGUCUAUUGAUUUUCAUCCUUUGUGUGGCGGUCGGGAUCGUGCGAUGGUUUAUACCUACCAACCCUUCUCCUAGGAGUAUGCGUUGAAUGCUUUGUUUCGAUUACUAAUAAAACUUUUGCAACAAGUAUAUGAGUUCUUCAUGACUAAUGUUGAGUCCAUGGUUUAGAUGCACUUUCACCUUCCACCAUCACUAUCUUCUUAGUGCCGUGCAACUUUCGCCGGUGCACAAAACCCACUAUUAGCCUUCCUCAAAACAACCACCAUACCUACCUACUAUGGCUUUUUCAAAGUCAUUCCGAGAUAUAUUUCCAUGCAACUACCACCAUGACAUGUGCCACCACGUCUACAUUGCCAUUGCAUGAUCGUAAGAUAGCUAGCAUGAUGUUUCCAUUAAUGUCUAUGCCAUGCUAGAUCAUUGCCACAGUACACUACCAAAGGCAUUCCAUAUAGAGUCAUUGUUGCUCUAAGUUUUGAGUUGAAAGUGUGAUGAUCAUCAUUGAUGGAGCAUUGUCCCAUGUGAGGAAAUAAAAGAGGCCAAAGAUGCCCACCAAAUAAAAUAAAAUAAAAAAAGAGGCCAAAGAGCCCACCAAAAAAAAUAUGAGAGAAAAAGAGAGAAGGGACAAUGCUACCACCUUUCCACACUUGUGCAUAUUAAGCACCAUGAUCUUCAUGAUUGAGAGUCUCUCGUUUUGUCACCACCAUAUAGCUAGUGGGAAAUUUUCAUUAUAUAACUUGGCUUGUAUAUUCCUAUGAUGGGCUUCCUCAAAAUUGCCUUAGGUCUUCGUGAGCAAGCAAGUUGGAUGCACACCCACUAGUUUUCUUUAUGAGCUUUCACAUACUCCUAGCUCUAGUGCAUCAUUUGUAUGGCAAUCCCUACUCAUUCACGUUGAUAUCUAUUGAUGAGCAUCUCCAUAGCUCAUUGAUAUGCCUAGUCAAUGUGACCAUCUUCUCCUUGUUUGCCUUGCAACCUCCACCACACUCCACACCACUUAUAGUGCUAAAACCAUGGCUCACGCUCAUGUAUUGCGUGAGAGUCAAAAAAGUUUGAGAAAGUAAAGGUGUGAAAACAAUUACUUGGCCAAUACCGGGGUUGUGCAUGACUUAAAUUUGUUGUGCAAGGAUGAUAGAGCAUAGCCAGACUAUAUGAUUUUGUAGGGAUAACUUUCUUUUGGCCUUGUUAUUUUGAAAGUUCAUGAUUACCUUGCUAGUUUGCUUGAAGUAUUAUUGUCUCCACAUCAAUAGCAAACUAUUGUUUUGAAUCUAACGGAUCUGAACAUUCACGUCACAUAAGAGGAGUUACAAAGGACAUCUAUGCUAGGUAGCAUGAAAGCAUCAAAAAUUCAUUCUUUAUCACUUCCCUACUCGAGGACGAGCAGGAGUUAAGCUUGGGGAUGCUUGAUACGUCUCCAACGUAUCUAUAAUUUUUGAUGGUUCCAUGCUAUUAUCUUGUCAACUUUGGAUGUUUUAUAUGCAUGAAUAUGCUAUUUUAUAUCUUUUUUGGGACUAACCUAUUAACUCAGUGCCAAGUGCCAGUUUAUGUUUUUUCCGUGUUUUUGGCCCUUUUUCAGACGGAGCCCAAAUGGAAUGAAACUUUACGAUGAUUUUUUUGGACCAAAAGAGACCCCCGAAGCUUUGGAAGAAGGCCAGAAGAGCCACGAGGGAGUCACAAGCCCUGACGCCACCACCACCCCCCUAGGUGGCACAGGGCAGGCUUGUGACCUCCUCGUGGGACCAACCGACGUAAUUCCACCACCAUAAAUUCCUAUAAAUUCAGAAACCCCCAAAAAGAAACCUAGGUCGGGAGUUCCGCCGCCGCAAGCCUCCGUAGCCACCAAAAACCAAUCUGGAGCUCGUUCCAGCACCCUGCCGGAGAGGGAAUCCAUCUCCGGUGGCCAUCUUCAUCAUCCCGACGAUCUCCAUGAUGAGGAGGGAGUAGUUCUCCCUCGGUGUUGAGGGUAUGUAUGAGUAGCUAUGUGUUUGAUCUCUCUCUCUCUCGAGUUCUAGAGAUGUGUUGAUAUCGUUGUACAGUGGGCUUUUAUAAUAUAGUGGGGNNNNNNNNNNNNNNNNNNNNNNNNNNNNNNNNNNNNNNNNNNNNNNNNNNNNNNNNNNNNNNNNNNNNNNNNNNNNNNNNNNNNNNNNNNNNNNNNNNNNNNNNNNNNNNNNNNNNNNNNNNNNNNNNNNNNNNNNNNNNNNNNNNNNNNNNNNNNNNNNNNNNNNNNNNNNNNNNNNNNNNNNNNNNNNNNNNNNNNNNNNNNNNNNNNNNNNNNNNNNNNNNNNNNNNNNNNNNNNNNNNNNNNNNNNNNNNNNNNNNNNNNNNNNNNNNNNNNNNNNNNNNNNNNNNNNNNNNNNNNNNNNNNNNNNNNNNNNNNNNNNNNNNNNNNNNNNNNNNNNNNNNNNNNNNNNNNNNNNNNNNNNNNNNNNNNNNNNNNNNNNNNNNNNNNNNNNNNNNNNNNNNNNNNNNNNNNNNNNNNNNNNNNNNNNNNNNNNNNNNNNNNNNNNNNNNNNNNNNNNNNNNNNNNNNNNNNNNNNNNNNNNNGAUGUACCGUGGGCUUUGCUACUAUAGUUGGAUCUUAUGAUGUUCUUCCCCCUCUCCCUUCUUGUAAUGAAUUGAGUUUCCCCUUUGGAGUUAUCUUAUAGGAUUGAGUCUUUGAGAACACUUGAUGUAUGUCUUGCACGUGUCUAUCUGCUNNNNNNNNNNNNNNNNNNNNNNNNNNNNNNNNNNNNNNNNNNNNNNNNNNNNNNNNNNNNNNNNNNNNNNNNNNNNNNNNNNNNNNNNNNNNNNNNNNNNAAAUCAGUGAGUAAUUGUUGGAAUUAUGCCCUAGAGGCAAUAAUAAAUAUAGUUAUUAUUAUAAUUCCUGUAUCAAGAUAAUCGUUUAUUAUCCAUGCUAUAAUUGUAUUGAAUGAAGACUCAUUUACAUGUGUGGAUACAUUGACAAAACACCGUCCCUAGCAAGCCUCUAGUUCGCUAGCCAGUUGAUCAAAGAUAGUCAGUGUCUUCUGAUUAUGAACAAGGUGUUGUUGGUUGAUAACUAGAUCACGUCAUUAGGAGAAUCACGUGAUGGACUAGACCUAAACUAAUAGACGUAGCAUGUUGAUCGUGUCAUUUUGUUGCUACUGUUUUCUGGGUGUCAAGUAUUUAUUCCUAUGACCAUGAGAUCAUAUAACUCACUGACACCGGAGGAGUGCUUUGUGUGUAUCAAACGUCGCAACGUAACUGGGUGACUAUAAAGAUACUCUACAGGUAUCUCCGAAGGUGUUAGUUGAGUUAGUAUGGAUCAAGACUGGGAUUUGUCACUCCGUGUGNNNNNNNNNNNNNNNNNNNNNNNNNNNNNNNNNNNNNNNNNNNNNNNNNNNNNNNNNNNNNNNNNNNNNNNNNNNNNNNNNNNNNNNNNNNNNNNNNNNNACUAGCAAGAAUCAUUGGAGGGAUUGGGAGUUAGCAAGCUCUAAGAAGGUCAACAAUGAGGGAAGAACACGAGCUCAACUGAUAUAUAAGGUCCAAUAGGGAAGAAUACCUCCUUAAUAUAGUGGGGGAAAGAAUCCAACCGUUACCCCCACUCACAGACCGACAGGAACGGUACUACCGCUGCUAGGACCGGUACUACCUCUCCCAGAACGUCCGAGGGAGCGGUAAUACCUCCCGGGAGCGGUAGUAAAAAACUACUACCGCUCCAGGAGCAAUACUACCGUUGGCACCAGGAGCAGUACUACCGCUGGAUACUGAAACUGCCAUAACUUUCGAAUACGAACUCCGAACCGAGCAAACUCAAGCUUGUUGAAUUCAGGACGGCAAGAGCUAUCCAACAGCGAAUGGAAAUCUUAACAACAUGUAGUUAUGAUAAUGCCAAUGAUAUAUAAAUGUGAGACCUAUAUGAAUGAAGAACCGGCAAAAACUUCCAACAUCGAAAACAUCAUAGAAGAUGCAUAUGGACUCCCUUUUCGAUGAACUCGAGCUUNNNNNNNNNNNNNNNNNNNNNNNNNNNNNNNNNNNNNNNNNNNNNNNNNNNNNNNNNNNNNNNNNNNNNNNNNNNNNNNNNNNNNNNNNNNNNNNNNNNNAAGAUAUUCCUUGUGGACAAGUUACUUCACGCUCUUGCUCCAUAUCACCAUCAAAUGGUAUGGGACAUGAAACAGCAUCAUGCUUUCAAAGAAAUGACUCCGGAUGACAUCAUAUCCACUUUCCAAUUAUUUGAAGAGUCAAAGGCAAAUGCAACAAAGCACCUAGCCAUGCAUGGCACUUCAACAUCAAAGAUCAAUCUUGCUUUGAAAGCCAAGCAUGAGUAUGACGAAGAAGAAAGUGAAGAAGAAGAAGGUGAUGAUGACUAUCAAGAUGGUGAUGAUGUUAACUCUGAUGAAAGCCCAUCGUUUGAGGACAUUGCUCUCUUUGUGAAGAAGUUCAGUGUAGGGAAGUUCAAGGGAAGAUUUCCAAAGAAGAAGGUAAGGAAAUGCUAUAACUGUGAGGAAACCAACCACUUCUCCAACGACUGCCCUUACGAGAAGAGAGAAGACAAACCAAGGUUUCCAAAGACCUUUGUAAAGAAGAAGUUACCAAACCCUAUGAACUCCAAGUCCAAGAGGACAGAUGGAAGAGCAAUGGUUGCACAAGAAGAAUCNNNNNNNNNNNNNNNNNNNNNNNNNNNNNNNNNNNNNNNNNNNNNNNNNNNNNNNNNNNNNNNNNNNNNNNNNNNNNNNNNNNNNNNNNNNNNNNNNNNNCCUAUCAUGGUGAUGUCCAUCUACGAGAGGGGAUGAGUGAUCUACGUACCCUUGUAGACCGUACAGCAGACGCGUUAGUGAACGCGGUUGAUGUAGUGGAAUGUCCUCACGUCCCUCGAUCCGCCCCGCGAACAAUCCCGCGAUGAGUCCCACGAUCUAGUGCCGAACGGACGGCACCUCCGCGUUCAGCACACGUACAGCUCGACGGUGAUCUCGGCCUUCUUGAUCCAGCAAGAGAGACGGAGAGGUAGAAGAUUUCUCCGGCAGCAUGACGGCGCUCCGGAGGUUGGUGAUGAUCUCGUCUCAGCAGGGCUCCGCCCGAACUCCGCAGAAACGCGAUCUAGAGGAAAAACCGUGGAGGUAUGUGGUCGGGCUGCCGUGGAAAAGUCGUCUCAAAUCAGCCCUAAAACCUCCGUAUAUAUAGUUGGGAGGGAGGGAACCUUGCCUUGGGGCUCAAGGAGCCCCAAGGGGGUCGGCCGAGCCAAGGGGGGAAGACUCCCCCCCCAAACCGAGUUGGACUUGGUUUGGUGGGAGGGAGUCCUUCCCUUCCUUCCCACCUCCUCUCUUNNNNNNNNNNNNNNNNNNNNNNNNNNNNNNNNNNNNNNNNNNNNNNNNNNNNNNNNNNNNNNNNNNNNNNNNNNNNNNNNNNNNNNNNNNNNNNNNNNNNACGGAGAUUAGCAUCCGCAAGGGUGUGAACUUCGGGAUACAUCGUCGUCUCCGCGUGCCUCAGUUAUCUCUUACCCAAACCCUUUACUUAUGCACUUUACUUUGUGAUAGCCAUAUUGUUUCUUGUCAUAUAUCUUGCUAUCACUUAGUUGUUUAUCUUGCUUAGCAUAAGUUGUUGGGGGCACAUAGGUGAUCGUAGUUAUUUUAGGUUUUGUGCUUGACAAAUUAAACAUUAGUUUUAUUCCACAUUUGUUCAAGCCUAAACCGUAAUUAUUUUAAAGCGCCUAUUCAACCCCCCUCUAGGCGACAUCCACGUCCUUUCAAUAAGUAAUAAGAGUCAAAUCCAAACCACUUAGUCUUUCUCGCCUUUUAGUAGUGUUGAUAUGAUCUCUCUCCCUUAAUGGUUAGUGACGGGGAUAUAACCCUAGGGUAGGGUCAUAGGUCUGACCAAUACGUCCUACCCAAGGGCACCUCAUUAUUAGUUUAAGGACUACAAGGGAAAUUCCUACUGGAUCGUGACAACAUCUAAUCCACUCGGUACGGAUCCACUCAGACAAGUACAUUCCAUCCACUCGGAUGACAGUCAACCACUCGGCCGUAUGACUCACUCGGUCAUGUAAAUACCAACAGUCGGCAAGACAUCUGUAGUGGGCUGACGUUAUGGCAUCAAUGCCCCAUCUUGUAACAUAAGAGGUGAGGAGGUGGCACACUCUAUAUAAGCCACCCCCUCCACAUAGCUAGGGGCUGGAUCUUCUUCUCCUCCUUCGGGCUCAUUCUUUCCCUCGAGCUCUUUCUCUCUCUCUAUACCAUGUAACUCGUGUCCAUGACAAAUAAAACAAAGCCUCUCCGGAGCACGAGACGUAGGGUUGUUAUCUCCACUGUGAGAGGCCCGAACUCGCUNNNNNNNNNNNNNNNNNNNNNNNNNNNNNNNNNNNNNNNNNNNNNNNNNNNNNNNNNNNNNNNNNNNNNNNNNNNNNNNNNNNNNNNNNNNNNNNNNNNNGUGCCAGUUCCUGUUUUUUCCAUGUUUUUGACCCCUUUCAGAGGAGAUUUUGAAACGGAGUCCAAACGGAAGAAAAUCCCCGAAAAGAUUUUUUCUGGAACGGAAGAAGAUCGGGGGACUUGGGAGACAAGCCAGAAGAGCCCCAGGGGCCCCACAAGCCCCCACCCCGUGGCCACGGGGCGCGCCAUGUAGGCUUGUGGGCCCCCUGGAGGUCCCCUGACCUAGAUCUUGCGCCUACAAAUUCCCAAAUAUUCCCAAAAAAUCAGGGGAGCAACGUAAUCACUUUUCCACCGCCGCAAGCUUCUGUCUCCGCAAGAUCCCAUCUGGGGCACGUUCUGGUUCCCUACCGGAGGGGGGAUUCGGACACGGAAGGCUUCUCCAUCAACACCAUGACCUCUCCGAUGAUGCGUGAGUAGUUCACCAUAGACCUACGGGUCCAUAGCUAGUAACUAGAUGGCUUCUUCUCUCUCUUGGAUCUUCAAUACAAAGUUCUCCAUGAUCUUAAUCGAGAUCUAUCCGAUGUAAUCUUCUUUUGCGNNNNNNNNNNNNNNNNNNNNNNNNNNNNNNNNNNNNNNNNNNNNNNNNNNNNNNNNNNNNNNNNNNNNNNNNNNNNNNNNNNNNNNNNNNNNNNNNNNNNGUCUGAGAUAGGAUCCAUGUAUGAGAACAAUGUGUGGACUUUGGAGGUACUACCUGAGGUCCGCAAGGCUAUUCAGAACAAAUGGAUCUUUAAGAGGAAGACGGACGCUGACGGUAAUGUGACCAUUUAUAAAGCUCAACUUGUGGCAAAGGGUUUUUCACAAGUUCAAGGAAUUGACUACGAUGAGACAUUCUCACCCGUAGCGAUGCUUAAGUCCGUCAGAAUCAUGUUAGCAAUAGCUGCAUUUUUCGAUUAUGAAAUCUGGCAGAUGGAUGUCAAAACGGCGUUCCUUAACGGUUUCCUUAAGGAAGAGUUGUAUAUGAUACAACCCGAAGGUUUUGUCGAUCCUAAGAAUGCUAACAAGGUGUGCAAGCUCCAGCGAUCCAUUUAUGGACUGGUGCAAGCAUCUCGGAGUUGGAACAAACGCUUUGAUGAGGUGAUCAAAGCAUUUGGGUUUAUACAAGUGGUUGGAGAAUCUUGUAUUUACAAGAAAGUGAGUGGGAGCUCUGUGGCGUUUCUAAUAUUAUAUGUGGAUGACAUAUUGCUGAUUGGAAACAACGUGGAGUUUUUAGAGAGCGUAAAGGAUUACUUGAAUAAAAGUUUCUCUAUGAAGGACCUAGGAGAAGCUGCUUACAUUCUAGGCAUUAAGAUCUAUAGGGAUAGAUCAAAACGCCUGAUAGGACUUUCACAAAGCACAUACCUUGAUAAAGUUUUGAAGAGGUUCAAAAUGGAACAAUCCAAGAAAGGGUUCUUGCCAGUUCUACAAGGUACGAGAUUGAGUAAGACUCAGUGCCCAGCAACUGAUGAAGAUAGAGAGCAUAUGCACUCCGUCCCCUAUGCUUCAGCCAUAGGUUCUAUCAUGUAUGCGAUGCUGUGCACUAGACCGGAUGUUAGCCUGGCCAUAAGUAUGGCAGGUAGGUUCCAGAGUAAUCCAGGAGUGGAUCACUGGACAGCAGUGAAGAAUAUCCUGAAGUACCUGAAAAGGACUAAGGAGAUAUUUCUCGUGUAUGGAGGUGACGAAGAGCUCGCCGUAAAAGGUUACGUUGAUGCAAGCUUUGACACAGAUCCGGACGACUCUAAGUCGCAAACCGGAUACGUAUUUAUUCUUAAUGGGGGUGCAGUAAGCUGGUGCAGUUCCAAGCAAAGCGUCGUAGCAGAUUCUACAUGUGAAGCGGAAUACAUGGCUGCCUCGGAGGCGGCUAAGGAGGGUGUCUGGAUGAAGCAGUUCAUGACGGAUCUUGGAGUGGUGCCAAGCGCACUGAAUCCAAUAACCUUGUUCUGUGACAACACUGGUGCCAUUGCCUUAGCAAAGGAACCACGGUUUCACAAGAAGUCCAGACACAUCAAACGACGCUUCAACCUCAUCUGCGACUACGUCGAGGGAGAGGACGUGAAUAUAUGCAAAGUGCACACAGAUCUAAAUGUAGCAGACCCGCUGACUAAACCUCUUCCACGGCCAAAGCAUGAUCAACACCAGAACUGUAUGGGUGUUAGAUUUAUUACAAUGUAAUUCACAUGGUGAUGUGAGGGCUAGAUUAUUGACUCUAGUGCAAGUGGGAGACUGUUGGAAUUAUGCCCUAGAGGCAAUAAUAAAUAUAGUUACUAUUAUAAUUCCUGUAUCAAGAUAAUCGUUUAUUAUCCAUGCUAUAAUUAUAUUGAAUGAAGACUCAUUUACAUGUGUGGAUACAUAGACAAAACACCGUCCCUAGCAAGCCUCUAGUUGGCUAGCCAGUUGAUCAAAGAUAGUUAGUGUCUUCUGAUUAUGAACAAGGUGUUGUUGCUUGAUAACUAGAUCACGUCAUUAGGAGAAUCACGUGAUGGACUAGACCCAAACUAAUAGACGUUGCAUGUUGAUCGUGUCAUUUUGUUGCUACUGUUUUCUGCGUGUCAAGUAUUUAUUCCUAUGACCAUGAGAUCAUAUAACUCACUGACACCGGAGGAGUGCUUUGUGUGCAUCAAACGUCGCAACGUAACUCGGUGACUAUAAAGAUGCUCUACAGGUAUCUCCGAAGGUGUUAGUUGAGUUAGUAUGGAUCAAGACUGGGAUUUGUCACUCCGUGUGNNNNNNNNNNNNNNNNNNNNNNNNNNNNNNNNNNNNNNNNNNNNNNNNNNNNNNNNNNNNNNNNNNNNNNNNNNNNNNNNNNNNNNNNNNNNNNNNNNNNUUAUUUGGUGGGCAUCUUUGGCCUCUUUUAUUUCCUCACAUGGGACAAUGCUCCAUCAAUGAUGAUCAUCACACUUUCAACUCAAAACUUAGAGCAACAAUGACUCUAUAUGGAAUGCCUUUGGUAGUGUACUGUGGCAAUGAUCUAGCAUGGCAUAGACAUUAAUGGAAACAUCAUGCUAGCUAUCUUACGAUCAUGCAAUGGCAAUGUAGACGUGGUGGCACAUGUCAUGGUGGUAGUUGCAUGGAAAUAUAUCUCGGAAUGACUUUGAAAAAGCCAUAGUAGGUAGGUAUGGUGGUUGUUUUGAGGAAGGCUAAUAGUGGGUUUUGUGCACCGGCGAAAGUUGCACGGCACUAAGAAGAUAGUGAUGGUGGAAGGUGAAAGUGCAUCUAAACCAUGGACUCAACAUUAGUCAUGAAGAACUCAUAUACUUGUUGCAAAAGUUUUAUUAGUAAUCGAAACAAAGCAUUCAACGCAUACUCCUAGGAGAAGGGUUGGUAGGUAUAAACCAUCGCACGAUCCCGACCGCCACACAAAGGAUGAAAAUCAAUAGACUAAUCAUGCUCAGACUUCAUCACAAAGCGGUUCACCAUACGUGCAUGCUACGGGAAUUACUAACUUCAACACAAGUAUUUCUAGAUCCACAACACCUUACUAGCAUAACUUCAAUAUUACCACAACCAUAUCUCAAAACUAAUUGAGAGGAAUCAAACUUCUCUAACUAUUCAAUGCACAUGAAGGUGGAAGUUUUUGUAUCCCUUUGGAUAAUUACCCCUUUUGAGACUACUUUCAAAGCAUAGAUCAACUACCAAGUCAUGCACCGCUGUGCUCUAAAAGAUAUAAGUGAAGCACAUGUGACCUGAAUUGUCUACCAAAGGAUAUAAGUGAAGCUCGACAAAAUCACGGUGAGUGCAUGUCUCUCUCUCUAGGUGUGCAGCAAGUAAGAUUUUGGCACAACAAAAAUAAAGACUCAUACGAUACAAGACGCUCCAAGCAAAAACACAAACAUGUGGUGAAUAAAAAUAUAGCCCCAAGUAACGUUACCGAUGGAUUGAAGAUGAAAGAGGGGAUGCCUUCCCGGGGCAUCCCCAAGCUUAGGAUUUUUUGAUGUCCUUGAAUUUGGCUUGGGGUGCCUUGGGCAUCCCCAAGCUUGAGCUCUUUCCACUCCUUAUCUCUUUGUCCAUGAGAACGUCACCCAAAACUUGAAAACUUCACAACACAAAACUUAAACAGAAACUUGUGAUAACAUUAGUACAAGAAAACAAACUACCACUUCUUUUGAUACUGUAGCACACUUGAAUUCCAUCUAUAUUGAUGAUGAGCUACUGUAUUCUCACUUUUCCAUGGCUAGUACCCCCGAUACUAACCAUAGUUUCAUCAAAACAAGCAACCAACUCAACAAAAACAGAAUCUGUCAAAAACAGACCAGUCUGUAGCAAUAUGUAUACUUCGUAUACUUCUAUUACCUCAAAAAUCUGAACAAUUACGACAGUCUGGGGAAAAAGCAUAUCAAUCAGCAGCAAGAAGAAUCAACUCAAAAUCUCAAACUUAAUAAAAAUGAAAAAUCAUCUCGUGAGCGAAAAGUUUCUGUCUUUUUCUAGAAGGAUCAAACAACCAUUACCAAGACUAGUCAUAAAGGUUUUGCUUGGCUCAAACACAAAAAGAAACACAAAAAACACAAUCACAACAGAAUUAUGAAAGUGUGGACGCAACAAAACAGAAAGAAAAAGAUAAAUUCAUUGGGUUGCCUCCCAACAAGCGCUAUUUUUAACGCCCUUAGCUAGGCAUUGAUAAAUCAAUGAUGAUCCCACAAAAGACAAGAAUUGAAGCACAGCGAGAGCAUCAUGAAGCAUGUGAAAAUCACAUCUAAGUCUAACAUACUUCCUAUGCAUAGGCAUUUUAUAGGAAAACAGAUUGUCAAGACAACCAAUAGUUACCACAUGCAAGGAAGAAGAAAGAGACGAUAUCAAUCUCCACAUAAUGAGAGGUGAUUUAGUGAUAUGAAAGUUUCUACCACAAUAUUUUCCUCUCUCAUAGCAAUUACAUGUUGGAUCAUAAUCAAAUUCAACAAUAUAGCUAUCCCAUAGGAUAUUCUUUUCAUGAUCCACAUGCAUGCAAAGUUGACGCUCUUAAAAAAUAGUGGGAUUAUCAUCAACUAAAGUCAUGACUUCUCCAAACCCACUUUUAGUGGACAUAGCAGAACUAGCAUCCCCAAGCUUAGGGUUUUGCAUAUUUUUAGCAUGAUUGUCAUUAACAGAAUUUAUAAUGAAAUCAUUGCAAUUAUGCUUUUCAUUCAAGGAGCCCUCGUGAAUCACUUCAUAAAUUUCUUCAUCACGAUUUUUAGAUUCACGCAUCUCAAGCAAAACUCCAUAGAGAAAGUCAAGUGCACUCAACUCACUAGCAAUUGGUUCCACAUAAGUGGAUCUCUUAAAGAGAUUAGCAAGUGGGUGAGGAUCCAUAUCAAUAGAUUUUCAGCAAGCGAAGAUGCAAGCAUAUUGAAGGCACAAAGCACUCAAGCAAAGGAAAGGCAAGCGAGAGAAAAGUGCGAACAAAAAAGGCAAACGAAAAAGGCACACGGUAUGAACCCAAAACCAAGCACUUCUCCCAUUGCAAGAAUCAUAGAUCUAGUUGGCCAGACAAAACCCACAACUCGAAGAGAAUUACAAGGAUAUGAAUUCAUGCAUAAGAGAGAUCAGAAGAAACUCAAAUAAGAUUCAUAGACAAUCUGAUCAUAAAUCCACAAUUCAUCGGAUCUCGACAAACACACCGCAAAAGAAGAUUACAUCGGAUAGAUCUCGAUUAAGAUCAUGGAGAACUUUGUAUUGAAGAUCCAAGAGNNNNNNNNNNNNNNNNNNNNNNNNNNNNNNNNNNNNNNNNNNNNNNNNNNNNNNNNNNNNNNNNNNNNNNNNNNNNNNNNNNNNNNNNNNNNNNNNNNNNGGUCUACAAGGGUACGUAGAUCACUCAUCCCCUCUCGUAGAUGGACAUCACCAUGAUAGGUCUUCGUGCGUGUAGGAAAUUUUUUGUUUCCUAUGCGACGUUCCCCAACAGUGGCAUCAUGAGCUAGGUUCAUGCGUAGAUGUCUUCUCGAGUAGAACACAAAAGUUUUUGUGGGCGGUGAUGUGUGUUUUGCUGCCCUCCUUAGUCUUUUCUUGAUUCCGCGGUAUUGUUGGAUCAAAGCGGCUUGGACCGACAUUACUCGUACGCUUACGAGAGACUGGUUUCAUCGUUACAAGUAACUCCGUUGCUCAAACAUGACAGGCAAGUGUCGGUUUCUCCAACUUUAGUUGAAUCAGAUUUGACCGUGGAGGUCCUUGGAUGAGGUUAAAUAGCAACUCAUAUAUCUCCGUUGUGGUGUUUGCGUAAUUAAGAUGCGAUCCUACUAGAUACCCAUGGUCACCACGUAAAACAUGCAACAACAAAAUUAGAGGACGUCUAACUUGUUUUUGCAGGGUAUGCUUGUGAUGUGAUAUGGCCAAUGAUGUGAUGUGAUAUAUUGGAUGUAUGAGAUGAUCAUGUUGUAAUAGAAAAUAUCGACUUGCACGUCGAUGGUACGGCAACCGGCAGGAGCCAUAGGGUUGUCUUUAUACUAACGUUUGUGCUUGCAGAUGCGUUUACUAUUUUGCUAGGAUGUAGCUUUAGUAGUAAUAGCAUGAGUAGCACGACAACCCCGAUGGCAACAUGUUGAUGGAGAUCAUGGUGUGGCGCCGGUGACAAGAAGAUCGUGCCGGUGCUUUGGUGAUGGAGAUCAAGAAGCACGUGAUGAUGGCCAUAUCAUGUCACUUAUGAAUUGCAUGUGAUGUUAAUCCUUUUAUGCACCUUAUUUUGCUUAGAACGACGGUAGCAUUAUGAGGUGAUCCCUCACUAAAAUUUCAAGACGAAAUUGUGUUCUCCCCGACUGUGCACUGUUGCUACAGUUCGUCGUUUCGAGACACCACGUGAUGAUCGGGUGUGAUAGACUCAACGUUCACAUACAACGGGUGCAAAACAGUUGCGCACGCGGAACACUCGGGUUAAGCUUGACGAGCCUAGCAUGUGCAGACAUGGCCUUGGAACACAUGAGACCGAAAGGUCGAUCAUGAAUCAUAUAGAUGAUAUGAUUAGCAUAGGGAUGCUUACCACUGAAACUAUACUCAACUCACGUGAUGAUCGGACUUGAGCUAGUGUAAGUGGAUCAUGAACCACUCAAAUGACUAGAGAGAUGUACUUUUUGAGUGGGAGUUUAGCGAAUAAUUUGAUUAAGUUAAACUCUAAUUAUCUUGAACAUAGUCUAAGUCCACUUUGAAUAUAUUUGUGUUGUAGAUCAUGGCUCACGCGACAGUCAUCCUGAAUUUUAAUACGUUCCUAGAGAAAGCUAAGUUGAAAGAUGAUGGAAGCAACUUUGUAGACUGGGCUCGUAAUCUUAAGCUAAUCUUACAAGCUAGCAAGAAGGAUUAUGUCCUUAAUGCUGCGCUAGGAGAUGAACCACCCGCUACGGCUGAUCAGGAUGUUAAGAACGCUUGGUUAGCACGUAAGGAGGACUACUCAAUAGUUCAAUGUGCAGUCUUGUAUGGCUUAGAACCGGGACUUCAACGUCGCUUUGAGCGUCAUGGAGCAUUUGAGAUGUUCCAGGAGUUGGAGUUUAUCUUUCAGAAGAACGCCCGGAUCGAGAGGUAUGAGACCUCCGAUAAAUUCUAUGCUUGCAAGAUGGAGGAAAACUCAUCUGUCAGUGAACAUGUGCUCAAAAUGUCUGGGUACUCAAACCGUCUAGCUGAGCUGGGGAUUGAACUCCCGCAAGAAGCUAUCACUGACAGAAUCCUUCAAUCGUUGCCGCCAAGCUAUAAAGGCUUUGUGUUGAACUACAACAUGCAAGGGAUGAAAAAGUCUCCCGGCGAGUUGUUUGCGAUGCUGAAAGUCGCAGAGUCUGAACUCCGUAAAGAGCAUCAAGUGUUGAUGGUGAAUAAGACCACUAGUUUCAAGAGAAACGGCAAAGGCAAGAAGGGCAAUUCGAAGAAGAGCGGCAAGCCUGUUGCCAAUCUGCCGAAGAAACCCAAAGCUGGAACUAAGCCGGAAACGGAGUGUUACUAUUGCAAGGGUAUGGGUCACUUGAAGCGCAAUUGCCCCAAAUAUCUGGCAGAUAAGAAGGCGGGCAAAGAAAAAUCAGGUAUAUUUGAUAUACAUGUUAUUGAUGUGUACUUAACCGGCUCUCGUAGUAGUGCCUGGGUAUUCGAUACCGGUUCUGUUGCUCAUAUUUGCAACUCGAAACAGGAACUGCGGAAUAGGCAAAGGCUGGCGAAAGAUGAAGUGACGAUGCGCGUAGGAAAUGGUUCCAAGGUUGAUGCAAUCGCCGUCGGCACAGUGUCACUUCAGUUACCGUCAGGAUUAGUGAUGAACUUAAAUCAUUGUUAUUUAGUGCCUGCGUUGAGCAUGAACAUUAUAUCAGGAUCUUGUUUAUUGCGAGACGGUUACUCUUUUAAGUCAGAGAAUAAUGGUUGUUCUAUUUCUACGAGUAACAUCUUUUAUGGUCAUGCACUGAAUGUGAGAGGAUUGUUCAUAUUGAAUCUUGAUAGCGAUACGCAUAUACAUAACACUGAGACCAAAAGAGUUAGAGUUAACAAUGAUAGCGCCAUAUUUUUGUGGCACUGCCGCUUAGGUCAUAUUGGUGUUAAGCGCAUGAAGAAACUCCAUGUUGAUGGACUUUUGGAGUCACUUGACUUUGAUUCACUUGACACGUGCGAACCAUGCCUCAUGGGCAAGAUGACUAAGACUCCGUUCUCAGGAACAAUGGAGCGUGCAAGUGACUUGUUGGAAAUCAUACAUACCGAUGUGUGUGGUCCGAUGAGCGUGUAGGCACGCGGCGGAUAUCGUUAUUUUCUCACCUUCACUGACGAUUUAAGUAGAUAUGGUUAUGUCUACUUGAUGAAGCACAAGUCUAAAACAUUUGAAAAGUUCAAGCAAUUUCAGAGUGAAGUGGAAAAUCAUCAUAACAAGAAGAUCAAGUUCCUACCGUCUGAUCGUGGGGGUGAAUAUAUGAGUUUCGAGUUUGGUGCUCACUUAAGACAAUGUGGAAUUGUUUCACAGUUAACACCGCCUGGAACACCACAGCGUAAUGGUGUGUCCGAACGUCGUAAUCGUACUCUAUUAGAGAUGGUGCGAUCUAUGAUGUCUCUUACUGAUUUGCCGUUAUCACUUUGGGGCUAUGCAUUAGAAACAGCUGCAUUCACUUUAAAUAGGGCACCAUCAAAAUCCGUUGAGACGACACCAUACGAACUGUGGUAUGGCAAAAGACCAAAGUUGUCGUUUCUUAAAGUUUGGGGAUGUGAUGCUUAUGUCAAAAAGCUUCAGCCUGAAAAGCUGGAACCCAAAGCGGAAAAAUGCGUCUUCAUAGGUUACCCAAAAGAGACAGUUGGGUACACCUUCUAUCUCAAAUCCGAGGGCAAAGUGUUUGUUGCUAAAAACGGAGCUUUUCUCGAGAAGGAGUUUCUCUCGAGAGAAUUGAGUGGGAGGAAGAUAGAACUUGACGAGGUUGUCGAACCUUUCAUCCCUCUGGAUGGUGGCGCAGGGCAAGGGGAAACCUCUGUCAUUGCAACGCCGGUUGAGGAGGAAGUUAAUGAUGAUGAUCAUGAAACUCCGGUUCAAGUUUCUGUCGAACCACGCAGGUCGACGAGACCACGUGCUGCUCCAGAGUGGUACGGUAAUCCCGUCUUAUCAAUCAUGUUGUUAGACAACAAUGAACCUGCGAAUUAUGAAGAAGCAAUGGUGGGCCCAGAUUCCAACAAAUGGCUGGAAGCCAUGAAGUCUGAGAUAGGAUCCAUGUAUGAGAACAAUGUGUGGACUUUGGAGNNNNNNNNNNNNNNNNNNNNNNNNNNNNNNNNNNNNNNNNNNNNNNNNNNNNNNNNNNNNNNNNNNNNNNNNNNNNNNNNNNNNNNNNNNNNNNNNNNNNUCCGCAGCCGGACACCAGUAGUUUGUAAUGCCUAUAUCUCGGAAAUCCAGCUUCCUCCGGACGUCCGGCCAAGCUCCGGAAAUCCGCAUGUCAACACCAGUAGUUUGUGUGCACUAUAUCUCGGAAAUCAGGCCCUCUCCGGACGUCCGAGCGCCGGAUGUCCGACACACAUCGGAAAUCCGGAAGCCACCACCAGUAGCAAUUGUGUUGUAUAACACGGACUUCCGGGCCACUCCGGACGUCCGUAGGCUGAUGAAUUCAAAUAUGUUCAGGCACAUCUACAGGCCUCGGACGACCGACCCAUGUCGGACGUCCGGACGCUGAUGAAUUCAAAAGAGUUCCAGGCAUGACUACAGGUCUCGGACGUCCGACCCCUGUCGGACGUCCGGCCCCUCGCGGACGCCCGGACUUCUGACAAGUGUCGGACGUCCGGACCCUGUGUGACUUAUUGCACCUCCAACGGCUGGAUUUCACUCCACACUAUAAAUACUCUUCUCCCACCUCGUGAAAGGGUGCUCAACACAGCUAAGACACAUCCAAGAACACCUUUCCUCUCACUCACUCUUGUCUACACUAAAUCCUAGAUCCCAAGAGCAUUCGUGAGUCCUUUAGAGUGUUGUUCCAAUCAAAAGAUAGAUCGUCUCCCUCUCCUCCUUCCCACCAAAGUGAUUUGUGAUUUGAGCAAGUUUUGAGCAAUCCCCGUGAUCUUGUUACUCUUGGAGGUUGGAGACUCCUAGGCGGUAGGAGUCUUCGGAGAGGAAUCAAACCAUUGUGAUAUCCCCCGGAAAGUUUGUGAAGGUUUGGAAGCCACCUCAGGGCUUACCACUAGUGGUUGAGAAACGCAUUCGUGGAGUUAUCUCAAAGGGAGUAUAGGGUGAGCCUUUGUGGCGUUGGUGUGCCUUCGUGGUAACAUCCGCCCCUCUAACGGUGACGUAGCUUCCCUCCAAGGAAGUGAACAUCGGGAUACAUCCUUGUCUCUCGCGGAGUUUCGGUUAUUCCUAACCCUAACUCUCUACUUGUGUUAAUCCUUAUUACAUACUUGUAUUUGCUUAUUGUUUACCGCUUGCCUUGCUUCACUCCUAAUAGCUUACUAUUUGUCAUAGCAAUUAUUAGGCUUACACUUAUAUUCCGCACUUUAGCCUAAAAUUGGUAAGUAAUUGUUAAAAUUUAGAUUCGUACCUAUUCACCCCCCCCUCUAGGUCCAUCUCGAUCCUUUUCACCAACGCCACGUGGCCCAGCUCGCCCCGCCGGCUCAGCUCCUCCCCACUAGGCCGGCCUCAGGCCCAAGGUGAGCCGUCCCUCUAGCCCUCUAUCUUGCGCCUUGAGCACAGUAUAGUAUAUCGCGCACACCCCAUGUGUAGCCCAUUAGAAACAGAUUUGGCCCGUGUAGGUUUUAUUAUUAUCGGUGAUUUAUUCAUAUUUUAGAAAUUAGUUGUUUUUCAAACACCCGCAGUUUAUUAAUCGAGUGUCGGAUCGCGACGUUUAAUAUAUGGAACUUGUGUAGUUUUUCGCAUAGAUUCAUAAUUUGCAACUUGCAUGCAUGUUUGGAGUAGUUUGACUUGCCAUACGCCUAGUUUUGCAUGCUGUCCUAAUAGGAGAUUAUCCCGUAUUUAUUUUCGUGCGUGUCCGGAUUGCUCGAUUCCCGUAGUUUAAAUGCUCAUAUUUUUAGGGACCUUUUGCCAUGUAUUUUAGAGUAGUUGUUUGUAUUUUUGCAUGUAAGUUCCAUCGCUAGUUUAUUAUAUCUUGUUUAGGACAUAAUCUCUCAUAUAUGUGUGGCGAUAUUAUUAUUUUGCAACCCCGCAUGUUAUAUAUGUUUUCGGGGUAGAAAAAUCCAUAGAAUUUAAUUGUGCAUUUAGUUUUAGCUUUCGAGUAAGUUAGUGUGCGUGAUAUUUUNNNNNNNNNNNNNNNNNNNNNNNNNNNNNNNNNNNNNNNNNNNNNNNNNNNNNNNNNNNNNNNNNNNNNNNNNNNNNNNNNNNNNNNNNNNNNNNNNNNNCCAUGCAUCACUAUUCUAGUCACUUUCAUAUGCAUGAGUUGAGUUAAUUGAAUUCUUGACAGAACCUCAUAUUAAGUUAUCUUGACAUGCAUGAAUAUGGCAUGAGCAUGUGCAUCACGAGAAAACGAAGCAAAAACAUAUAAAGAACGUAGAGAAAAGAGUCACGGAUCAUCCGGAAACUACAAAACAAGUUUCAAAGGCCUACGGUUCAAAACAGCCACAAACACACUCUAAUGGGCCCUCCCUGGUGUUACCAGGUUGCCACAUGAUCAAGCAACAAAUUAUAAGUGGGGUGGUGCAUGGGAACACACCACACCAUCAACAAUGCCCACACAAGCUUCAAAACAACGCGAACACUCAAUCUGUUNNNNNNNNNNGGUGGCAUUUAUAUCAAGUGGUAGGCGGCGAGCAUGUAACGAAGGAACAUGAUUCUAAGCAUAAAAAAGCUAGAUACAGUGUCAAGGUCACGGUCAUCUUGCCUGUGAUGUCUUCAGCUUGGAACUGCUCUUGAUCCUCCUGCACGUAUUCUCAAGAAUUCAUGUACUCGCUCUCCAUUCCCGAUGCUACCCAAGAUAAGAUAACAGCCAAUGGACACCGGCAAAACAUAAUGCAACAAUCAAUAUGAUGCAUGUGUGAAGAAGGAAGCAUGCAUCACUAUUCUUGUCACUUUCAUAUGCAUUAGUUGAGUUAAUUGAAUUCUUGAGAGAACCUCAUAUUAAGUUAUCUUGACAUGCAUGAAUAUGGCAUGAGCAUGUGCAUCCUGAGAAAAUGAAGCAAAAACAUAUAAACAACGUAGAGAACAGAGUCACGGGUCAUCCAGAAACUACAAAACAAGUUUCGAAGGCCUACGGUUCAAAACAGCCACAAACACACUCUAAUGGGCACUCCCUGGUGUUACCAGGUUGCCACAUGAUCAAACAACAAAUUAUAGGUGGGGUGGUGCAUGGGAACACACCACACCAACAACAAUGCCCACACAAGCUUCAAAACAACGCGAACACUCAAUCUGUUUUAACAGCAACAUGGCAGUUUGUCUACAAUAUUUAAAGUAGCUACAACCAUCUAAAUGAAUCACACAAGAUAUGAGACAGAAGCCAUCCAAAAAAUCUACAACCCUGAACAAGAAGCUACUAUAAAGGAAUCACCCAUGAGCAGAUCUAUAGACACUAACUUGGACAAAAUAUCACAGAUUCUGGGACUUAGUGAAAAUCACAGAUUUUCACUAGCUGCUUAUGCUCUGAAGCAUUUUGGCAACCUCCAAAAUGAUAUCUACAUGAAGUGCAUAAGCAUGAAAUUUAACAAGGAGCUUAAAAAUCAUAAAAGAUCACAAACAUUAGUUUGUUGCAUGGGCUAAUGCCCAACACAGGAGCUAAUUCACACAAGACAACAUGGGAAGAAAAUAACUCCAGUUUCUCAGACUUAGUGAAAAUCACAGAUUNNNNNNNNNNGCCUCCAAAAUGAUAUCUACAUGAAGUGCAUAAGCAUGAAAUUUAACAGGGAGCUUAACGAACAUAAAAGAUCACAAACAUUAGUUUGUUGCAUGGGCUAAUACCCAACAGAGGAGCUAAUUCACACAAGACAACAGGGGAAGAAAAUAACUCCAGUUUCUCAGACUUAGUGAAAAUCACAGAUUUUCACAAAUCUGUCAGUUUCAGCCAAGUGUCCACUUUGACAGGGCACAAUAGGUGCAUACAAAUUCCUAAGAUCAAAAUGAAACUCCCAUACUAUACAGGGGUUCACCCACUACCACUACGUCAAGGAAUCAUCCUCAAAGGGUCAAGGCAACACCUAAUGUAAAGCACUAAACAUGAUAUCAUAUCAGAAAAUAACAGUUUUAUGAAGUUGCUCUAAAUUGAAAUAUGAUUGCACCAAUGGAUUCCUGGGAUGGUUCUACCCCAAAAUCAUAUAUCAUACAUGGGUACUUGCAUGUAACAACAUUGCACAAAGCUAGCUUGAAAAUAUCACAUAGAAUCCUAUAAACUACAAAUGACUAUCAUCACAUGUGAAAACUAGCACAUAUUGCAUCACCUCCACAUGCACAUGCACUAGGACAAGAACAACCUAUCUAGGCAUAACAUGGGUCCACUAACAUGUCACACUAUCAUAUAGAAAUGUGGUUAUCCACACACACACAUACAUGUGCACUCACAUACACAUGCACAUGUGUAUAUGGACUCACACCACACCAUCUACACCUACACAUGCACACACAUACGCACUACUCACACAACACCACAUGACUAGGUGCAACAUGAGGGGUUAGGCCCUCUUGCUCAAGUGUAUGUGCACCCUCAUGCACACACACACACUCACAUGUCUACACACAUACACUCAUGUGCACACGCACACACUCAUGUGCACACACACACACANNNNNNNNNNNNNNNNNNNNNNNNNNNNNNNNNNNNNNNNNNNNNNNNNNNNNNNNNNNNNNNNNNNNNNNNNNNNNNNNNNNNNNNNNNNNNNNNNNNNAUAUGAUGGCAUGAAUGCAAUAUGUGUGCAACGACAGUCACAAGCAUCUCAAAACAUUCAACCAGCAAGAGAAUAUGAAACUACACGAGAUUCUAAGCAAGUUUCAUAUAGGACAUGAUCAAAACGGUGGAACGGUUCAACAAUUACAAGCUAAACAAGAAAUGACCAGAAUCUGCCAAAAUCAGCCACAUAGCAUUUUCUACGCCCUCGAACAACUAGCUAGACAAACCCAAAAGGCUCAAACAAGGCAUGAGACGAUAGAUGUCAAGAUGCACUACAACAAACAACUAACAACAUCUAGCAUGGAAGCAUGGAUCACUAGGAAAAGAACUCACAAAAUGGCAUCUCACAUACAAUUUUAGACUUAGUGAAAAUAUCAGUUUUAGACAGUGCAAUUUUCGAUCUGAAGGCAUAUUGAAAACAACAAAACUAUAUGCUAAGGGGCACCAAAUGGCAUGAAAAAUCACAACAUGCUAGAUAAUUUUAAGGACUACAACUAACUCCAUUGCAGCAACCUCAAAAGAGCUAUAGAUCACGAGAUAAACUCAUGGAAAGAUAGCAACAAAAUAUAACAGAUUUCGGACUUAGAAAUAUUUCAACGUCUCCAAAUCAGCACUAUUUCCUAGCAAGUUGAGAACAAGCAAACUACACCUAAAGAUGGAUUUCUAUUGCAACCAAAAUUAUCAGGGGCUAGCAUACAUAUCCNNNNNNNNNNCAGAUAAACUCAUGGAAAUAUAGCAACAAAAUAUAACAGAUUUCAGACUUAAAAAUAUUUCAGCGUCUCCAAAUUAGCACUAUUUCCUAGCAAGUUGAGAACAAGCAAACUACACCUAAACAUGGAUUUCUAUUGCAACCAAAAUUAUCAGGGGCUAGCAUACAUAUCCACGUACAAAUCUCUAGUUGACAACUCCUUCAUAUCAUGCACGGAUUAAAUCACACAAAAUUAACAAAAGGCAACAUGGCAAAAUAUCACGCACACUAACUUACUCGAAAGCUAAAACUAAAUGCACAGUUAAAUUCUAUGGAUUUUUCUACCCCGAAAACAUAUAUAACAUCUGGGGUUGCAAAAUAAUAAUAUCGCCACACCUAUAUGCGAGAUUAUGUCCUAAACACAAUAUAAUAAACUAGCGACGGAACCUACAUGCAAAAAUACAAACAACUACUCUAAAAUACAUGGCAAAAGGUCCCUAAAAAUAUGAGCAUUUAAACUACGGUAAUCGAGCAAUCCGGACACAAAUGAAAAUAAAUACAGGAUAAUCUCCUAUUAGGAGAACAUACAAAACUAGGAAUAUGGCAAGUCAAACUACUGCAAACAUGCAUGCAAGUUGCAAAUUAUGAAUCUACGAGAAAAACUACUCAAGUUCCAUAUAUUAAACGCUGCGAUCUGACACUCGGUUAAUAAACUAUGGGCGUUUGAAAAACAACUAAUUUUCUGAAAUAUGAAUAAAUCACCGAUAAAUAAUAAAACUUACACGGGCCAAAUAUGUUUCUAAUGGGCUACACACGGGGUGUGCGCGAUAUACUAUACUGUGCUCAAGGCGCAAGAUAGAGGGGCAGAGGGGCGGCUCACCUUGGGCCUGAGGCCGGCCUAGUGGGGAGGAGCUGGGCCGGCGGGGCGAGCUGGGCCAUGUGGGACUGGCGCUGGCCCAUGCGGUUGAGGAGGCGGAUGGGGCGAUGGGCCUGGGGCGCCUGGGCCUUGGCCGGCUGGAGCGACGGCGGCUCAGUUGGGCCGAGGGGCGGGUAGCACACGCUCGUCCCCGUCCUCUCGUGCGCACGGUGCUACAGGGAGGCAGCAUCCUCCGGUGAAGGGGCGACGAGGGGGGCGCGCGGGGUAAGGGGAAACCAGCGGAUCCCACCACAUCCGGCCGAGACGGACCCAUUCCCGGCCGCGAAAGGAGUUUGAGGCUGUGGCGGCAAGGUCUCCCUGCAAAGAUUAGAGAGAGGGAGCUGCGGUGAGAGAGAAGCACGGGAGGAGGAGAUGGUCGGCGCUGGCGCGAGAUCCCGGCGGCUUGACUUGGCGAGCGGCGGUUGCGCCGCGGCUGCGGCUACCGCGGCUCACCGGCCGGCUAGGCUUGCAGGAGAGGUGGCGGGGUCGAGGCAGCGUCCUUGGGAGCGGGGCUCCAGGCGCGGGACUGGGAUCGGGAGCUCACGCUCCUUCCGAGGCCAGCGGCGGCCAGAUGGGCUCGGCGGGCCCAACGUGGGCUCCGUGGGCCAGCGGCUCGAGGAGAGAGGACGUGGAGGCUGCGCUAGGGUUAGGUGGGGGCACGGUUUUCGCGGCAGAGGGAGAGAGUGGAUGUCUAAAAUGACAUGGGGUCUAUUGAUAAGAAUGGGUGGGCUAGGUUUAUCGUUUUUCGCCUCGGUUCCAACCGUGCGAUCGGAAUCGGACGAUCUUGAACGCGGGACGGGCUAAGUGGCCGUAUAGAGUAGGUUAGCCGGAGAUGAGAGGUAAAAUGGCACCCGGCAACGUAAUUUUAAAACACCGAAAAACGUCCGAUGAUAGACCGAAUACGGUGCCGCUACGGGCGACCGUUCGGGUACGAGACACACUCCGAUUGUGACGAAACUUGGCAGGGAGCCUACCUAUAUCUAAAUAAGACCGCACGUCAAGUUUCAACCCAAUCAGAGGAAAAUUUAUACACACUUUUAAAAACAAGAUUUUGACGGUGCCGCGGGCGCGUGCGUGUGUGGUCGGGCUUAGAACGGGCAACGAUGAGAACCGGCAACUAAUAACGGAUGCAACUUUUGAAAACUGGCGGCAANNNNNNNNNNUGGAUGAUGUGCAUGAUGCGACAAAUAAAAUAAUCACACAAUGAAAACAGAAUAAAAGGGAAAUCUUCUGGAACGUCGGUCUCGGGUUGUCACAACUCUCCUACACUACAAGAGGAUCUUGACCCGAGAUCCAAGAAUGAAAGGGGGAGAGGAUGAGAAAGCAAGAGGUAAAACUUAGUCGCUUCUUUGACACACGAGUGAAACCAACGACCCUUGAAGGUUGCAAAGAGAUGAAGAAUGAUAAGAGAAACAAGCAAGGAUUCACAGAAAAUUUCGGCAGCACUUCGGUAGGACAAGGGGACAAAAAAAUCGAUAAGAUAGGAGAACUAGACAAGAUUCACAACAAACAACUAAAUUGAACAAGGGAACAAUAUGAUCUUGAAAAGAGAAACUGUUAGAUUGAAGAGAGCAACAUCACAAGUCCUCCGUUAGAAAGAAUAGGAACUAGCUCUUGGCAAGAAAAGAACGAAGAAUAAAUUGAGAACUACUACCACAAGAAUUUUGAAGAACGUAUUGAGAGAAAGAAUUGAUAUCAUGAGCCACUCCGGAAGAAGAAUUCAGAUCACUAUGAACAAGAAUAAGAAUUAUGUUAUGCUUAUCCUUCAUCAAGUUAAAUUGAUGACAAGCAACGGAUUUAGCAUACCACUUAUUCUUCUAGAAAUGAUUGAAGAGAGAUAUGAGCACAAACUAGAAGAAAUGUUGCAAGAAACACCGGUGAGAAUUGAAAUGAAUGAGGCAACCAUGAAUGAAUGGAGAUACAUGAGAAUGAAGAGAUCAUGAGCCACCUAACAUAAAACUUGAAUGAGGCACCGGAAUAACAGAGAGACGAACGAAGAGACAACAAUUGAGAAGAAUUGAGGAUGAAAGCUGAAAGCUAAGAACGAAGAAUCUUCUGAAAUGAUGGCCUUCGGAGGAUCGAAAAAUGAACACAACAUUGAAAUGCACUGAAUAGCAAGAAAGGUAUUACUCAUGAUUGGGAAUAAUUCAAGAUGAUGGCACAAAGCUGAAAUGAUGAAUCUCCAAGAGAAUGGACCAAGAUUUGACAGAACACUCCUUCAAUCUCCAAUGGAGAGAAUGAUGAGAAGAACACCACCAAGAACUACUGAGACACUCCGGAAUAAAGAAGAAUGGAAGGUUGAGCCAAGUGAGAAUUAAUUUAAAUAGAUCUUGGAGAAGGGAUAUGACUGGUGGAAACCAAACUUACGUCAUAGUCGAAAAGAAUUAGGAGCACCGGAAAAAUUAUAAGAGCUAGAUAAGAUCCUGGGAAAAACCUGUGGGUUAUGGGCCCACUCAAAAGAAACCACCGUUGAAAAGGUUGCUUAGAAGGAUAGAUAUUGCACUGGUACAAAUGAAAACUUGAUGGGGUUGAGCACCUUGAAAUAAUUAAAGAAUUGAAAACAAGAAACUUCUGAGAUAACUUCAACACUCCGGAUAGGAAAGAGAGGAAUGAAUAAACGAGAUAAGCUGAAGAAUUUCCAACACAGGAAAGAAUUUAAAGGAUGAAUAGGAUAUGAUGAACACGGAUAGCUUGAACUGAAUUCACCGGAAAAAGAACAAAAUGAAGAAAUGAUGAACUCAAACUCCUGAGAAUCUUCACAAUGAAUCACCGGCUAAGAGAGAAAAGAACAAAUAGCGGAAGCAACAAUGAAAUGAAAUGCACUUGGAUGAAAUCCAAUCAUUGAAGAAAAGGGUGGGAGGGUGGGAUAAACAAAGACAACUUGGGACAGAUGAGAUGAUCUCCGGAAGAAAUGAGAGAAUGAUCUUGCAAAAUUGGAGAGGAUAGAAUAACUUGAAGAGAAGCACACCGGUUGUAAAAGAAUUGAUAUGACAACUCCGGUUGAUAAGAAUUGAUAACACAACUUGAUUGAGCAAACUAAUUUGCAUUCCCGUAAAAAUAUGAGAACACCUCUUGGAAAGAUAUGAAUUCACCAUUUGACAUCGAAGCAACUCGAAUUACCAUAUUCCAACAAAAACAAAGGCCGCGACUUACAAAAAAGCCAGAACAAAUUCAUGAGAAAGAUUCCGCUCGAUAUUUUCGUGGACUGGAUCGCNNNNNNNNNNNNNNNNNNNNNNNNNNNNNNNNNNNNNNNNNNNNNNNNNNNNNNNNNNNNNNNNNNNNNNNNNNNNNNNNNNNNNNNNNNNNNNNNNNNNAUGAGUUGCAGACCCUCAUUGAGGCUCAUGUGGAUGUCAAAACAACUGCAACUACAUCAGUACCAACUCGCCCCGAGUGCGACCUCACAGUCGCACUCGACAACCUAGCUGCGAUCCCGCAUCACCCCAGUACUCUUUGGCCUCCGAUCCACUCGGUGAUAAUACAGAUCCAAUCGGAAAUUCCACAGACCCUCAAUGAGGCUCACGUAGAUGUCAAGACAACUGACAUGUUCCGAAUGUUUGCCUUUGGCUUCACCAUGAAACGCCAAACAAAAACUCGAGUGAAAAUUGCAACAGAAGAGCAAAGGAUUCGAUUCAAAGUUCAAACAAAGAUAGUGGCUCGGUGUGGAUCAAGCUUACCCACACCGAAACAAGAAUGUGACAGCCAACAGCAGUGGCCAAAGUUUCUUACAAAUCAACACUCGGCAUACCGAGGAUAAAGUUUUCUUACGCGUCGUCUAGAUUGGCGCCAGGACUGGAGGGCUCCAUGAAGGUGUCCAGGUCGAUUCCGUCGGUGAUGCGGGUGGCACUUUCAAGGAAGUUUUCCAUGAAGUCUUCGAAUCGAAGUUUCUUCGUGUUGGCGACCUUCAACGCUUUCAGCUUCUCCUCGCGCACCUCCUUGCAAUGCACUCGAAGCAAGGACAAAGCAACAUCUGCACCACAGCGAGCCGCAUAUUUCUUCCAUGACUGCACUCGGUUGGGGACCUCCUCCAGUCGACUCAUCAAGUUUUCCAUCUCCUGCCGCGACUCAUCUUCCGGCCAAAGCUCCUUGUCGAUCCGGCCGACGACUUCUCUCAGUCGACCGAUGAAAGGACCAACUUUGCCCACGCGAAUGUGCGCUGCCAGCAGGUCUCGAUUGGCGUCCUCGCCAAGUGGAAUGUUCUCGUGAAUCGACCGCUCCACGUCAGCUGCUUCAGCUUCAGCGUCCAUGCAAAAAUCUGCAAACACAGGGCAAGCAAACAAUCAGCGCCGAGUGUAACGCACGUACCACAAGCACUCGGAAAAAGAGGACUUACCACCCAGACGCGUCAUCAUCUGCCGAGCCCAGUCACUGACGUAUUUCUCCUGCGCUAUACACCGUUUGUUCAGCACAUCCAUUUGUCCCAUCAGCAUGGACCUUUGCUUCCCCAUCUUCUCAACUUCAGCAGUCAGCGCUUUGUUCACUUCACGAGCCUGCUCCAACGACUUCUCUCGUUCCGCCAGCACUUCCUUCAUUCCAGCCGCUGGGAUUUAAGUAAGGUUCCGGCUGGGUCGCUAGCAGGUGGCCCCGGAACCUUAUCCCCCGACCGACCGCGGCGAUAUCAGUGGAGAGGAUGAAGGCGCGAGAGUCGAGGCGUCAGACGCUACUCGAGCGCGCUGGCAUCAUCCCCGCUGAGCGCGCGGAAACCAAAAUUUGAGGAUCCCGGAAAAUCCGCCGCUGUCAGUUGACUGGUCACGUCAAGAGAUACCCUGGAAGCACUUGGUUUCCGACGGUUUGUUCCACAAAGAUUUCCACUCGGAUCGUUGGUCAGAGAAGAUAAAAUGGACCGAGGCAAGCAACACCAAAGUCACAUCCGUUCCAGUCGGAUCCAAACUUCAAGCAUCGCUUCGUCGUUCCAACCCCAAUCCAUUCGGGGACUAAUGAUGGGGUUAUAGUCCUAGGGUAGGGUCAUAGGCCUGCCCUGUAAGUCCUACCCAAGGACUACCCCCCAUAAGGGACAAGGCCCUUAGUCAGUUCCGACUGAACUAAGGAGUUUCCAUCAUCCAGUCGGUAACAGACCCUCGGCCACCCAGUCGGAGACUAGCAUUCGGAGAAUAUCAAACUAACCGAAUGGGUUCCACUCCGUACAUCGUAACCCCCCUGGAGGGAAACGGUCGUACGUUUCCAGGUGCAUUUAUUAGCAUUUAGGACGUACGUUACCUGUAACGUAGGCAUUCAAUUGCCACUACUCCACCCCUGUAUCAGAACCGUUGUGGAGGGCAGCGCACUCUAUAUAAGCCACCCUCCCCCGCUGGUGCAGGGGUUAGCAAAUCAUUGUAUUCCAUAUUCCACUCGACAACAAGCUCCCAGAGCACUGAGACGUAGGGCUAUUACCUCCACCGCAGAGGGGCCUGAACUCAUACAACCUCGCCGUAGCUGGGACUCUGCCCAUCCUUUUCGUACCCUACACAUCUACUGUCAGGCUUAUACCCACGACAGUUGGCGCCCACCGUGGGGCAUCGGUGUCUAUCGAGCCAUGGUGCAAAUGGUCUUCUUUUCAAUCUUCGGCAGUGGAUCAACGACCGUCGCAAGGGAAAUUUGGCGCUGGAGUUUUGGCCAUCUCGCCAUUCGUGCAAACAAUAGGAUCAGGGAAGUAUCCAUUCCAUCUAGUCUAUUUACAAUAAAUUCUCUAACAACGAGUUUGCCUUCUCCUCCUAUAGGAUUAGACGCACCUAUUCAUGAUCGAUCAUGAAGUAGAGAAGAGAAGAAAAGGACAAGUCGCUCCAUAUAUUUCUUGCCUUCUCAUAAGAUCAUCGUUAAUGGCGACCGCAAAAACAGCCAUCGGCGUUAUCCGUCUAGCCGUACCCAGUCUCGUGUAUUACACCGUCGGCGAGCUCCAACGCAAGGCCAUGGGCGCGGUCCAUCCCGUCGUCUCCGGCCUCGUGUAUGACGUUGUCGGUGAGGUCCUACACUUGGCCACCAGCACGAUCCAUCGUCGUCUCUGGCCUCGUGUAUGACGCCGUCGUCGAGCCCUCACGCGUAGCGGCCUGUCGUCGUCUUCGGCUUCAUCUGCGACACCGUCGUCAAGUCGACAAGCACGGCCACCGACACCGUCGACUCGACCCUUGUGUAUUCUGCUGCUCGACGAUGACCUUCGCGGUGGAGGAGGAGGCCCGACGCGGUGCAGUCGUGCAUCGUUCGUUCCUCUAGGGUCGAUCGCUGGUGGCCGUCUUUGUGAUGGGUGCGCGCUGCAGCAGUGGCGUACGAACAUCCUCUACCAGCAAGGAGUAGUCAACACCACGAAAGGUAACGUGAGUACGUGGGCUGCCCAUUUAAUCCGCCAAUUGGCGAGGAAUCUCCAACGCUUGUCAUGGACGUGGGAUAACUCCUUCAAUGCCAUAAGACGUGGUGGCAACCGCUUCAAUGUGUUGGACGUGGACAACUCCUUCGGUGAGCCACACUAUCAUGCCUAGUUAUAAGGGAGGUCUGCUGCCCAUCACCAUUUCGCUGACGUAAUUACCCCGCAUUAAGCAUCUCAUAAGGUGAGCAUUACGUCCGCCCAAUUAAUUGUGCAUGCAUGCAAGCUUAACCGCCCGUCAUCAAGUGUCCUAUCAAGUGAGCAUUUCCUGUGGUCAAUUAAUUAUGCCUGCGUGCAUGCAUAAUAGCUCAUCAUCAUGGAAUGUCAUCAUGAUAAUUCCUUUAAAAUAGCAUCUAUUCUGGCACAUUUUGAUCCAGCAAAAAAUAUAUUCGUAGCUAUACUUGCUACUAACUGGCUGGGUCACUCGUUCGUCAUCGUCCCCGAACAACGGUUUAUUCGAACGGACUGUCUAUUCGAGUUAGACGCGUCAUCAUCACUCGGUCGCCUUGCAUGCCGUCGCUCAGUUGAAAGCAUCGUCAUCACUCGGCCGCUCUACGCAUCGUCGCUCGGUCGGACGCGCGUCGUUGCUCGGUCGGACGCGCGUCGUCAUCACUCGGCCGCCCUGCACAUCGUCGCUGAGUUAGACGUGCGCCGUCAUCACUCGGCAGCUCCGCGCAUCGCCACUCGUCCAGACGCUCCAUCGUCACUCGGCCACUCCGCGCGCCGUCACUCUACUGGACACGUCGUCAUCACUCGGCAGCUCCGCGCAUCGCCACUCAGCCAGACGCUCCAUCGUCACUCGGCCACUCCGCGCGCCAUCACUCUACUGGACACGUCGUCAUCACUCGGCAGCUCCACGCAUCGCCACUCAGUCGGACGCUCCAUCCUCACUCGGCCACUCCGCGCGCCAUCACUCUACUGGACGCGUCGUCAUCACUCGGCAGCUCCGCGCAUCGCCACUCAGUCGGACGCUCCAUCCUCACUCGGCCGCUCCGCGCGUUGUCAAUCUACGGGCCGCGCCGUCAUCACUCGACCGCUCUGCGCGUUGGCGCUCGGUCGAACACGCAUCAUCAUCACUCGGCCGCCCUGCAUGCUGUCUCUCAGUCAUACGCGUCGUCAGCGCUCGGCCGCCCUGCGCGCCGUCCCUCACUCGGAUCCGUCGUCAGCACUCGGUAGCUUCGCGCAUCGCCAGUCAGCAAGACAAGCCAUCCUCACUCGGCCGGAGACUCCUUCGUCACUCGGCAGCUUCGCGUGUCGUCACUCGGCUGGAGGCUCCUUCCUCACCUGGUUGCUCUGCGCGUCGUCACUCGGCCGCCCCGCGUGUCGCCACUCAGCUAGACGCGUCUUCAUUGCUUGACCGCCCAACACGUCGCCAUUGAGCCGAACGUGUCUACUUCGCUCGACCGCCCCGUGCGUCGUCAGGCAGCUAAGUCAUUUUUUCACAGACUGCAUUCUAUUAAAUAAUCGUUUCUACAUUACCGAGUGUCGAGGAAGUCGCACAUGACGUUCACUCGGAGGCCACGCCACUGAGUGUACCUCUGCACUCGGUUGUUUAUUUUUAUGUGGGAACACUUCACUUCCGCUUCGUUUGGGUCCAGUACUCAAACGAGUUCAGCCGGAUCCUUCACUCUUUUAGACUCUUGCUGGUUCCGAACCAGCAAUCACGUGGCACACCCAGUGGGUGUCUAUAGGUGCAAUUUACACGAACUAUUUUAGAAAAGAUCAUAUUACUUUGAUAAUUUUUUAUGCUGGCUUGUGCUAUUUUUCAUACAUAGGUUACUCGACGCAUCCGUGCGCCAUCCUCGUCGCUGCUCAGGCUCAAUCGCCGCAACGAUCAUUCAUGCGUUUUCACGUGUUCACAAGCCCCCGCAAUGACGUAGUGGACACGGCCGCCCCGCGUGCCAUCAGUGGGUCGGACGCCUCGUCGACAUACAUCACUUGGCCGCCCCGCGCGUUGCCACUCAGCCAGAAUCGUCUACCUCACUCGGAUGGCAUGCGCAUCGCCACUCCGUGUGGCACGUCUUCAUCAUUCGGCUACCCCGCGCGCCACCGCCCAGCUUAGCUGCGACUCCGUGUCGCCUAAGUUAAAACUACUUCGAGUACGGNNNNNNNNNNGCUCCACACUCGGGGGCUUAGCUGCGACUCCGUAUCGCUUAAGUUCAAAACUACUCCGAGUGCGGACAUGCUCCACACUCGGGGACUUAGCUGCGACUCCGUGUCGCCUAAGUUAAAACUACUUAGAGUACGGACACGCUCCACACUCGGGAACUUAGCUGCGACUCUGUAUCGCCUAAGUUAAANNNNNNNNNNNNNNNNNNNNNNNNNNNNNNNNNNNNNNNNNNNNNNNNNNNNNNNNNNNNNNNNNNNNNNNNNNNNNNNNNNNNNNNNNNNNNNNNNNNNACUCCUUCGGGCUCAUUCUUUCCCUCGAGCUCUGUCUCUCUCUAUACCAUGUAACUCGUGUCCAUGACAGAUAAAACAAAGCCUCUCCGGAGCACGAGACGUAGGGUUGUUAUCUCCACUGUGAGAGGCCCGAACUCGCUAAAACCAACGUGUCACCCAUGUGCAUCUUGAUAGAUCAUGCUCCGUUAUCCUACCCCCUUUCUAUUGUCGGAAUCGUUACCACGACAGUUAGCUUAACCAAAAGCUUGAUGUUUCCCCCCUGAAGCUUUGAACUUUUACUUUUCUCCCACUUUGGCAUCAGUUUCGAGGAAGGGUUAGAGGGUAAGGUGUAACGACUAAGAUGCGUCCCUUUCCUAUUUUGGGGGCGAUGCCUCAAAUGGGAAAGGGGCACAUCUAAACGUUUCCCAAGUGAGAUAAUCAUAACAUUACAUAACGGAAGAAUGACAAGUAGGGCAUACACUUGCCAUCUGACAAUGGUAUAGCAUAAAGCUUACAGACACACAAUUAUUCAGCGUAAAGUUUAGUCCCGCUACGGACAACAUGAAACAAGUAAAACUAUGACAUCCUGCAUGCUGGCCCACGAUCACGACCACGACCUCAGUCUUCCGGAUAGUUCACGUACAAACGGCCAGAGUCCUCAUUGAAUUCCCACUUCAGCUGGUUAUCAUCCGGAUCUCCUGCGUCGGGCGUACCUGUACCUGUUGGGGUUUUUAGUAAACCGUGAGCCACGAGGACUCAGCAAUCGAAUGACCUUGGUAUUGAAUCUAGCCGAGUUAUUGGGUGAGGAAGGUUAAGUGUAUAGGUUUGNNNNNNNNNNGCAACCUAAGCAUGUACGGUGGUUGUCUUACGUAGAUCAGAGUAACAUAUGGUGGUCUACGCAAGUCGGUCGAAUACUAAGAUGAUCACUAAGUGAUCCUGAACACCUACUUACGUCAUACAUAACCCCACCAUGUUCUCGAUCACAAAAAGAUCUCUGAAAGAGACAGUCACGGUUACGCACACAGUUGACAAUUUUAUUAGAGUUACUUUAAGUUGUCUAGAACCGGAUGUUAACAANNNNNNNNNNAUAACCGCGGGCAGGGCUUUCCGAAAGAUUAAACCCUGUAGGGUGCUCCAACUAGUCCAUCACAAACUGCCACGGGCCGCAAAGUAAUCCUCUAUCACGAAACUCGUGAUCUCGUCGGAUUCCCUAGAGGAAAACCUUAACUUUGAGGAGACCCAAAGUUUCACCGGGAUUCCUAUACGCAAGAUAUAUUGCUAAGGUAAGACAAAUCUAGCAGGACCUCCCGUCGUGUCGACGACCCCGAUAAGAGCCGCGUAUCUCAGUCUCAGGACACGACGGAUAAGCGACGUGUACAGUGUCCUGAUAGAAAUCACUCAAGUUGCCCUCAGUUGGCCCCGCACAGUGCUCUAGUUUGGACCAACACUCAUGAGGAGCACAUGCCCGGGUUGUUGAUUAAUACCUCGGGGUAGCUAUUCCCUAUGCAAAUUAUUAUUAGGUUAUUAGCAGAUUAAAACAAAGGUUGGGUUCUGCCGAACAAGCCUUAACACUACACGAUUUAUCAAGGGGGUCCCCAUAACAACCCCGAACGUGUUAGGAGCGAUCAGUUAUGGAAUCAAACACCGGUAGCCGAAACUAAGGCGGCAACAACGGAACAAAUCACCCGGCAAAAGGCUAGGCCUUCCAUUAUUUACCAAGUAUAUAGGUGCAUUAAUUAAAUAGCAGUUUAAACAUAAUGAUAUCAAAAUACCCAUGUUAUCACAUGAGACAGCUGGCACCUGCAGCUAGCAAAGCUACUCAUUAGAGGUUGAGCAAGCCUACUUAGCCAAACAACAUUUGCUAGGAGAGGGAGGUGUUUGGGGUUCAUGGCAAAGACAUGUGGCAUUUAUAUCAAGUGGUAGGCGGCGAGCAUGUAACGAAGGAACGUGAUUCUUAGCAUAACAAAGCUAGAUACAGUGUCAAGGUCACGGUCAUCUUGCCUGUGAUGUCUUCAGCUUGGAACUACUCUUGAUCCUCCUGCACGUACUCUCCAGAAUCCACGUACUCGCUCUCCAUUCCCGAUGCUACCCAAGAUAAGAUAACAGCCAANNNNNNNNNNNNNNNNNNNNNNNNNNNNNNNNNNNNNNNNNNNNNNNNNNNNNNNNNNNNNNNNNNNNNNNNNNNNNNNNNNNNNNNNNNNNNNNNNNNNUUGGGUAGGACGUAUUGGUCAGACCUAUGACCCUACCCUAGGGUUAUAUCCCCGUCACUAACCAUUAAGGGAGAGAGAUCAUAUCAACACUACUAAAAGGCGAGAAAGACUAAGUGGUUUGGAUUUGACUCUUAUUACUUAUUGAAAGGACGUGGAUGUCGCCUAGAGGGGGGUUGAAUAGGCGCUUUAAAAUAAUUACGGUUUAGGCUUGAACAAAUGUGGAAUAAAACUAAUGUUUAAUUUGUCAAGCACAAAACCUAAAAUAACUACGAUCACCUAUGUGCCCCCAACAACUUAUGCUAAGCAAGAUAAACAACUAAGUGAUAGCAAGAUAUAUGACAAGAAACAAUAUGGCUAUCACAAAGUAAAGUGCAUAAGUAAAGGGUUUGGGUAAGAGAUAACUGAGGCACGCGGAGACGACGAUGUAUCCCGAAGUUCACACCCUUGCGGAUGCUAAUCUCCGUUUGGAGCGGUGUGGAGGCACAAUGCUCCCCAAGAUGCCAAUAAGUCCACCGUAAUCUCCUCACGCCCUCGCAUAAUGCAAGAUGCCAUGAUUCCACUAAGGGACCCUUGAGGGCUGUCAUCGAACCCGUACAAACAAGGUUGGGGCAAUCUCCACAACUUAAUUGGAGGCUCCCAACAACACCACGAAGCUUCACCACAAUGGUGUAUGGCUUCGAGGUGACCACAAAUGCUUGGGGCAAUCUCCACAACUUAAUUGGAGACCCCGACGCUUGCCCGGAGCUUUACACCACAAUGAUUGAGCUCCGAGGCACCACCAAGCUUCUAGGGGUACCAAGUACCCAAGGGUAAUGAGCUUCUCAACUUGUCACUUCCACGUAUCAUCGUGGAUAACUCAAACCGAUGCAACUAAUGAAAUGGCAAGAACACACGAAGUGGUCAAGUCCCUCACACUCAAAUCCCUNNNNNNNNNNAAGCUUCUCAACUUCUCACUUCCACGUAUCACCGUGGAGAACUCAAACCGAUGCAAGUAAUGCAAUGGCAAGAACACACGAAGUGGUCAAGUCCCUCAUACUCAAAUCCCUCCACAAUAACAAAAGUUGUGGAGAAAUAUGAGAGGAAGAACAAGGAGCUCACAAAGAACUCCAAGAUCAAGAUCCAAGGGGUUCCCCUCACAUAGAGGAGAAAGUGAUUGGUGGAGAUGUGGAUCUANNNNNNNNNNAAAAGCUAUGGAGAAAUAUGAGAGGAAGAACAAGGAGUUCACAAAGAACUCCAAGAUCAAGAUCCAAGGGGUUCCACUCACAUAGAGGAGAAAGUGAUUGGUGGAGAUGUGGAUCUAGAUCUCCUCUUUCUUUUCCCUCAAGAACUAGCAAGAAUCAUUGGACGGAUUGAGAGUUAGCAAGCUCUAAGAAGGUCAACAAUGAGGGAAGAACAUGAGCUCAAUGGAUAGAUAAGAUCCAAUGGGGAAGAAGACCUCCUUUAUAUAGUGGGGGAACGAAUCCAAUCGUUACCCCCGCUCACAGCCCGACUAGAGCGGUACUACCGCUGCCCGGAGCAGUACUACUGCUCCCAGAACGUCCAAGGGAGCGGUACUACCGCCCGGGAGCGGUAGUAAAAAUUUACUACUGCUCCGGGGGCGGUACUACCGCUCCAGGAGCGAUACUACCGCUAGCAACAGGAGCGGUACUACCGCUGGAUACUGAAACUGCUCUAACUUUCACAUACAAACUCCGAAUCGAGCAAACUCAAGCUUGUUGAAUUCACAAUGACAAGAGCUAUCCAACAGCAAUAUAAAAUCUUUAUAACAUGCAGUUAUGAAAAUGCCAAUGAUAUGGAGAAGAGAGACCUCUAUGAAUGAAGAACUGGCAAAAACUUCCAACAUCGAAAACAUCAUAGAAGAUGCAUAUGGACUNNNNNNNNNNAUUUUUUUAUGAACUCGGGCAUGUCAUGAGGAUGUCCAUAAGCUCUAAAACUCACAAAGAGAAACACCAUACAAGAACCAAGAAAUAUGAUGCAAGGAUGCAAAUGGUUUGAGCUCUCAACGAAUCAUACGAUCAAGCUUCUCACUUGGGAGCCCCCCUUGACAGUACGACAAUCUAUCCUAAAAAAGAGAACCUAUCAAGGGCAGACCUAUACCUUGCAUCUAGUCCUCUUGAGAUAGAUGAUGAUGAUCUUGACUUACUCAAGAUGGACCGCCUUUCUUGAUUGCCUUGGUUUGACGAAGACUAGUUGAUUGCUCCCCAUACUCACUAUGGGUGAGCCACUCUUCAGCGCAUCUUCACAAGUCCAUUGCCACCACAAUGGACGGCAAGCUUCAAGCAUGAUAUCUUCGUGAUGCUCCACUUGAACUUGCACACCGCAUCUUGAUGACGAUCACCACUUGAUGUCAUCCUUCAUAGGAUGAAUGAGAUCUUCCUCUUGAUGCAAACCCAUGGAGAGACACCUAACCCCACGUAGAACUCUCACAAGGACCAUGGGUUAGUACACAAAAGCGUUAUGGACAAUGCUUACCAUACCAUGGGAUCACUUGAUCCCUCUCGUUACAUCAUGUACACUUUGUUUGUUGAUCAUCUUGAUUUACUCUUUGCUUAGUCUUGAUCAACCUUGUGUCUUUAUGACCAAUCUUUGGAUAAUACCUUGAAUACCACCUUGGUCAUCAUAUAAACUCCUUGACACCAACAGAUGGACUUCAAGAAGUGCCUAUGGAAAAAUCCUUCGAAUAUAACUUAAGGCAACCAUUAGUCCAUAGGGAUUGUCAUCAAUUAGCAUAACCAAAUAUGCAGAGAUAUGCUCUAACUAUCUCCCCCAUUUGGGUAAUUGAUGACAAUCAGUACAAGAGAGUCUAUAUAAGGAAAUAAGCAUAACCAAGUGCACACAUACAAAGCUAUAAUGCAUGCAUAGAAGAUGUAAAUGCUUAAGCAAUAAAAGCAAAACCCUCUAUGCAUCACCAAACUAAACUCCCUAAACUUCUCCCCCAUUGGCAUCGAUUGCCAAAACGGACAAAAAGUUUAGAAAGACAAUAUAGUAGGUGGUCCUCCAAAAAGUGUGUACUUCUCAACAAUAGUGCAAAUAAAUACACAAAUACAAUGAUAAACAUUAGAGGAAAACGAACUAUAUCGAGGACCCAAAGAUUGCAAGAAGAUCGUAUGUAACAAAGACAUACAAACGAGAUAAGCACACAAUCAAAAGAUACCAAUAGGAACAAGCAAUCAUAUGGUCCUUCGAACCACAUGAAUAAAAGAUGCUAUGAUAAGGAAAAUAGUGUGUUUUAUCAAAACUAGAGAAGCUCCCCAUGAUUUGUGCACUAAUAAUAUAUUUUUUGUAUCUGAUAUAAGUGCACAAAAUAGGAUCGUUGCUCCCCCAAAAUUAAUAAAAGCACACAAAAAGUGCAAGAAAAUAGAUGAGACAAUAAAUAUAUCACUUGCACAAAACAUAUGGUUGAGCAACAUGUAGAAGAGGCAACUUAAGAGUAGGCUCAACCAAAAUGAUGUGUGUGAGUCAUGGCAAGGCACUUGAGAAGACUAAGGUGAGGAUGAUCAUCACUCAUCAAUAUAGUCUUGAAGAAAUAAGAACAAAGUUCAAGACAUAUCCUUCCCACACACACACUACUAGCAAAUAGGUUCACAAGCUUACUAAUAAACAAAUUGAGAACCGACGUUUGUGACAAACCAUGGUGAAGAAAGGAAAUAAUAACCUUGUCAAGAGAAGGGAUACCAACCAAAAUGUCGACACCCUUGUCAAGAUAGGUAUGAGGAAAAAUAAUCUUCACCACCAACGAGUGCAUCAAGAUGAAAGGAUAAAAGAUCCACACUCAAGAGAAAUCCUUUUAUGAAGCCACCAAAAACUGAAAAAGGAAAUGCAAUAGUGGACGUGAAAGAAAAGAAGAUAUCAACUAGAGAUGUAACUUCUCUCAUGUGUAAAAGAUUCUAGGUAGAAGAAAAUCAUGAUGAUAUAUAUCCACAAACAAGGAUCUAGACACGAAAUGGUUACAAGAAGGAACAAACAAGAUAUCGAAAACGAAGUCAUAAAUAUACCAAUAAGAUCUUUGCUUGAAAGCAUAGCACAUGGCCUAAUAUUUUCUUAUUGUACAAUAUGAACUUCCAACUUAUGAACUCAAAGACAUCCCAACUAGCAAUAAGGCAUCAUCGUUCGGAUGCUUUGAGGAAGGAAACAAGUACCACAAGAACGUAUCAAGAAAUUCAUGUCAUGAUGAAACCUAUGAAAGGUUGAAUGCAAGAAAUGUAUGCAUAAAAUAGAUACUUGUUACCGAGAAAGCACUAGAUUGAUGUAGUAGAUAGUUGUUCGUUGAUCAUCCUAACUUGGCUCCAAUAAGCACAUGGUGUUAACACCUUCCUUGUAGGUGAGCCGAGCAUCCAAUGCAUGUCCAAUUGUUCCUAGAACAACAAAACAAACAAAAUGGUGCCCAAACUCAUUGGGAUCAAAGAGUUAGAAAACCAACAAUACAUAGGACAAACUCCACAUAAAUAUGAGCAUAUAGAUAUGAAAUUGAAUUUCAUGCACACUUUAGCCAAUUUAUGACAAGGUGGAGUUUCCCCUAUAUAUCGNNNNNNNNNNNNNNNNNNNNNNNNNNNNNNNNNNNNNNNNNNNNNNNNNNNNNNNNNNNNNNNNNNNNNNNNNNNNNNNNNNNNNNNNNNNNNNNNNNNNCCGGGUACCGAGCUCGAAUUCAGGACGGCAAGAGCUAUCCAACAGCGAAUGGAAAUCUUAACAACAUGUAGUUAUGAUAAUGCCAAUGAUAUAUAAAUGUGAGACCUAUAUGAAUGAAGAACCGGCAAAAACUUCCAACAUCGAAAACAUCAUAGAAGAUGCAUAUGGACUCCCUUUUCGAUGAACUCGAGCUUGUCAUGAAGAUGACCAUAAGCUCUAAAACUCACAAGGAGAAACGCCAAACAAGAGCCAAGAUAUGAUGCAAGGAUGCAAAUGGUUUGAGCUCUCAACUAACGAUACGAUCAAGCUACUCAAUUGAGAGCCCCCCUUGACAGUACGGCAAACUAUCCUACAAUAGGAAAACUAUCAAGGGCAAACCUAUACCUUGCACCUAGUCCUCUUGAGCUAGAUGAUGAUGAUCUUGGCUUCCUCAUGAUGGACCACCUUUCUUGAUUGAUCCCCCAUACUCACUAUGGGGUGAGCCACUCUUCAGCACAUUCUUCACAAUUCCAUUGCCACCACAAUGGACGACAAGCUUCAAGCAUGAUAUCUUUGUGAUGCUCCACUUGAACUUGCACACCGCAAUCUUGAUGACGAUCACCACUUGAUGUCAUCCUUCAUAGGUUGAAUGAGAUCUUCCUCUUGACGCAAACCCAUGGAAACACACCUAACCCCGCAUAGAACUCUCACGAAGACAUGGGUUAGUACACAAAAGCAUUAUGGACAAUGGUUACCAUGCCAUGGGAUCACUUGAUCCUUCUCGGUACAUCUUGUACGCUUUGUGUGUUGAUCAUCUUGAUUUACUCUCUGCUUAGUCUUGAUCAACCUUGUGUCUUUAUGACCAACCUUUGGAUAAUAUUUUGAAUACCACCUUGGUCAUCAUAUAAACUCCUUGAAACCAAUAGAUGGACUUCAAGAAGUGCCUAUGGACAAAUCCUUCAAAUAUAACUUAAGGCAACCAUUAGUCCAUAGGGAUUGUCAUCAAUUACCAAAACCACAUAUGGAGAAAUGUGCUCUAACACUUAUAACCAUGUGUUGAUCUUGUGUUUUCAUUCUAUACUUAUCUCACUACCUACUCCCAUUAUCUACAUGUUAAAGAUUCAGGGGAGAAGAAAGAGGAAAAUCCAUAUUCACGGGAGAAAGUUGUACAAAUAUUCUUGGAGACAUGUCAAUCUUUAGAUAAUACUAUUUCCUACAUGUCAUCCAAAUCUUGGUACAUUCGAAAUCUUUUGCAUUGGUAUGAUAGAAACAGUUGUGUUAUCUAACCCUAUUUUGUCAAGUGUGUUUCUCUAAGUUAAGACGCUCCACGAUGUCAAUGUAAGUAUAUGCAUCAUAUCCAUGUUCAAGAUGAACUCUUGUUUAUUGCAUGUAUUGUUUGCAAGAGUGACUUUUGAACAUGGAGACACUUCAAUUACACAUAUUUGGUGCAUAUAGCCAAGGUACAUAUGACUUGUCAUCCCUUCUUUCUUGUGUGUGUGCUCAUGCUUUCCAAAAGCAACCAUUCCUUAAAGGGACUGCACACAUGUAUGGGGGCUUGCUUUAGUCAUAUGUUUCUCAAAGCUACCAUAUUUUACUUCAUACUUUAAAUUGAAGCUUUGAUUGUAUGUUGUCAUCAAUUACCAAAAAGUGAGAGAUUGAAAGGACAAAUACCCGUUUGAGGUUUUGAUAAUUCAUGACAACAUACACUAUCUCUUGGACUAACAGUUCUACCUAGAUUAUUUCAGAUCAAGUCCAAAGAGAGUAGACGUUGAGAAUUGUGAGAAGGAUCCCCAAGAAGGAAAUGAAUAUUAUUGGCAAAGCUUCAAGAUUCAAGACUCUAUAUUUUAUUUUAUGUGAGAGAUCACAACUGAGUCCACGGGAAAGCCAGUACUAUUAAAAGGGGAUGAGAUAUUGAUAAUGAUCUAUUUGCUCAAAAUGCUUAGAGAUUAGCCACAAAAAACCUCAUCCAAACUCUCACAAAAGAUUAUCUCCAAAACCUAAAUGUCAAAUUUGGUGCCACCAACAAAUCCCUAUCGGCCCUACCGAGUUUCAUCCUAGACAAAACCCAAGCCAAACCCUAGCAAUUCGGUGCAACCGAGUUUUGGUUCGAUACACCCAAAAAGCAGUGACCACCUCGUUGGUAUCUAAUUGUCAAAAAAUAGACUUUCCGAGGUUUGCAUUUCGGUGCCACCGAGUCACUGGAACUGCCUAGGUCAAACAAAUCGGACGCACCGAGUUGUUUUGUAUCGAUCUCACCGAAAAGUCCAAAGUUAGGACAUUUUGCACUAGUUGGUGUAACCGAAUUUCUACUUCGGUUCCACCGAGUUGGGCAAUAAUAUUGUAACAGUUGGAUUUUUGGAGAUGGCUAUAUAUACCUCUCCACCUUCCUCUCAUUCAUAGAGAGAGCAUUCAGAACAAGCAAACAUUUCCGCCAUUCAUUUCUGAGAGAGAACCACUUACUCAUGUGUUGAGAUCAUGACCUUCCACUCCAACCAUAUGAACCUUGAUUUCUAGCCUCCCCAAGUUGCUUUCCACCCAAUCAAUCGCUUCUACUAUGCCAAAUUAUGUGAGGUCGUCUCCCGGGUGUCGUCGUCGUCGGGGCCGGUGAGGUCGACGAGCAUCGGCGCCAGGCCAACCCACGGGAAGGUCGUCUCCUAGGCGGCGGCGACAUCGUCUGUCGGUGGUUGCACACCGCUCGCUGGGCAGUGUGACACUCCUCCUCCUCGGCUUCAGCCUCGCGCUCCAACAGCUCAAUCCGCCGGGCCUCUUCGCCCUCCUCCCUCACCCCCCGCAGCCGCAAGUAUUUCAGGUAAACCGCCUCCUGCCCAGCGUCGCACCCAACCAGACGGGUGGCAUGCUGACCCACUCGCGCACCACCCUGUCCCAAGCGUACAUCUCCGGACCGAGGAGGACAACGGGACCAGUGGGGGACGACGGGGCCAGCGACAGCACGACUGCGUCGCCGACAGCGGAGAGCGCAACGGCCUCCGCCAUCUGCUUCUCGUAGGCGGCCUCCUCCUCCUCCUCCUCCUUCACGCGCGCCUCCUCCUCGCUCGCGUGCAGGACGGGCCGCUAGCGCGUUCUGGUACGCCGCCUCCGCCUCCUGGUCCUCUUCGUGCAAGACGAGGGGUGGCAGCGGUCCAGCCACCAUGUCACGGGCGCCACAUUGACGCUGCUCCUCAUGCUCCCACGCGAACCAAGCAUACCAGUCGGGGGAGUCCGCGGCAUAGACAGGGUUGCGCCACUGCUCUGGCGUCAGCUACCCUAGUCGGCACCUCACCUCCUCUGCAUGCACCCGCGCCGACCGCGGCACUAGGAUCCUCUCUGGAUCCAAGUGCCAGUUGUGCAGCAGCGUGAUACCGGGGUAAGGGAGGGGAACGCGGUGCUCCCAGUGCCACCUCGCCUGGUGCACUGGCACGCUGACCCGCUCGCGAGGCGGACGGUAAGACGUCGGCGCGCGGACAGGGACAGCGGGGGACUUGCCCUUGUCUUUCGCAGAGAAGAAUCCCAUGGUGGUGGUGGCUAGGGUUUGCCGCCGACGGGGGAGUAGGGGUGGCUAGAUGUGGACAAGGGCAAACCGGGCACCAAGUGUGAACGACGAGUGUGGACAUGAAAAGGCGUGCACUGCGUCCGUGCCGAAGCAUUUCAAACACAAUUUUGGGUCAAAAUGGAUCCGCACGGACGUAAUUUAGGUUUGGAUUAGCACGUUGGACCCUUGUCUUUCGCAGAGAAGAAUCCCAUGGUGGUGGUGGCUAGGGUUUGCCGCCGACGGGGGAGUAGGGGGGGCUAGAUGUGGACAAGGACAAACCGGGCACCAAGUGUGAACGACGAGUGUGGACAUGAAAAGGCGUGCACUGCGUCUGUGCCGAAGCAUUUCAAACACAAUUUUGGGUCAAAAUGGAUCUGCACAGACGUAAUUUAGGUUUGGAUUAGCACGUUGGACCGUCAUUUUUGUUUACGGCAAUUUGGAUUUGGAUCGACGCAUUAGAUUUGUUGCCACGGGCAGCGCUCUAUUGUCCCCACUCCCCAUAAAAGGGAGGAGGUGAUGUAGGAGAGAAAUUCGCGCUCUCAUUUCCCCCUCGCUCAUCUUCUUCCUCGCCUAGAGCUCCAGCUCCAAGUGAUACAUUGCCGCAGGAAGAAAAAAGUGCUUCAUUGUCGCGCCGCCAACCAAAGCGAUAUCUAGUAAGCGACGCCUGAGGAAGGUUGGCCAGCUCGUUGAUACAGGCAAGGGCCCCGCUACAGCACCCAAGGUGGCAUCCACAACUAAGGGAAAGUGGAAGGCUCAACGGCUCCACCGCCGGGUACUUUCCCCCCGACCCAGGCUCCCAAAAAUACCAAGGAGAAGAACAUGUAUGCUUCAUGCCCUUUCUGAUCCGUUGUUUGGGGUGGGUUUCCGGCAGCUAAUGUUAGUUACCAAAAAAAAACUCUGGCACCAAGCACAAACUAAGAAAAUCUGAUUGAUUACUGUAAAGAUCCAUGCAACAAUCCUCUAGGCUAUCAAGUGCACCAAGCACAAACUAAGGCAUAUACUCCCUCCGUUCCUAAAUAUAAGACCUUUUAAAAAUUUCACUAUGGACAACAUACGAUGUAUAUAGACAUAUUUUGGACCGCGGGUGCAUUCAUUUUGCUUCAUAUGUACUCCCUCCGUUCUUAAAUAUAAGUCUUUGAAGCGAUUUCACUAAAGGACUACAUACAAAGCAAAAUGAGUGAAUCUACACUCUAAAGUAUGUCUAUAUACAUCUGUAUGUAGUCCUCUGGUGAAAUCUCUAAAAAGACUUAUAUUAUGGAACAGAGGGAGUAGUUCAUAGUGAAAUCUCUAAAAGAUCUUAUAUUUAGGAAGGGAGGGAGUAUAAAAUAAACAGAAGAAACUACAUAACAUCAGAUACCACUUGCCAGUAACUGCCAGAAAAACAAUUGUACGGGUACAAACUAAAAGAAUGGAUCAUGUUGACAAAACUUGUGGUCAGCUCAACCUGUGCCACUUGCAAAUGUUUUGCUCGUUUCGUUCGCCCUCGUCGAAAUAGGAAGUCCCACAUUUACUGUGUUUCUCACCACAAACCAAUCAUCUUCCACCAGAAGCCUCCAGCACCAAGCCAGAUGAUGAUGUUAACAACGGAGAUGACAAAUCCAUAGCCCCACCACUCAGCCAGCGGAACAUAGCCCGCUCCAUAGAAGACGGGGGCUGACCCUAUGCCAUAAUGGGUCAGGCCACCCAUGAGGUUUGAAAGGAAUGACAUAACCAUGGCAGCGAAAAGCGGAGGGGUGCCCAAGGCACUUGCCACAGACAGGAACGCAGUGAACAUCGCUCCGAUGUGUGCAGCACCACUAGCAAAGAAGUAGUGGGAGUAGAAGUACAUCAGCACCAAUACACCGAAUGAGAGUUGCCAGGACAGACCGAGACCUCCAACAAACUGAGAGGAGAACAGAUCAAGGUAUCAGAAAAUGAAAAUAUUGAAAGCACUUUCCAUCUAACUAUGUAGAUGUUACUCUGGACUCGCAAGAAUAUUGGAAUAUCAGGUCUAGAAUGAUAAAGCCAUCAUAUUUCAAUUCACCAACAAACUAAUGAGCCCUCAUGUGAUAUGUCUUACUUCCUUCAGAUGUAUAUUACCAGUAAAUAAAUUUCUAGUUCAGAUCUAACAAUCUAACCCAGCCUAUCAGUGGUAGGGUGCAGACAUACGAGUAGAAGAAGUUUUUGCAACAGACACCAGCAACGUAAAAGAAUAAAGUUCAGUGAGGUGCCGGCAUAUAGAAAAUUUUGUGUUGUCAAAAUGCUAACAACAUGGCAUAGUACAUCGACGCGCAUCCAUCAUGCUCAAUGUCUAUAAUUAGUAAGCAAGAGUAACUAAAAAGGAGCCACGAUCAUUUCAAGAGGAAACUGAGGGAAAUAGAAUGGAGACAUACCUUAACAACAGUCUCGCUGAACCAAGAAAUCAAUCCAUAUUUGUUGAGGUAGCCAGCCAUCGCAAUCAGCGCAGCAAACCAAGUAAGGGUAUCCCAUGCUACAGACUCCGCCAANNNNNNNNNNNNNNNNNNNNNNNNNNNNNACUCUUUCCAUGUAACAACUCCAGUAAUUAGGAGCACAGAUAGGCCAAGAAUCGCUGCAGACACUGCAUCUACACUCAGC
rnacentral:lncRNA from 1 species